rnacentral:lncRNA from 1 species
CAGAGUUCUCAAUGUGUUCAAGAAAUGAGACUAGAUGAAGCUACAAAUUCGAACAUGUUGACUGCUCAGCAACAACCUCAGAGGCAACUGUAUAGACACCUUGAGAGACAUCAUAAGAAAAUCGUUGCAUCUGAAGCGCAGGCGUUGCAUGGCAAUGUUGAGACUCCUAUCAGGAUGAACAAAGCUAAGGAAUUCCCUAAAAUAGUAAGGGAUCAUGAAGCAUGCUUACUUUCAUUUUAUCAUCCUGCUCCUAUUCCAUCCCAUGUUAUGAAUAUGUUGCAUUGGUGCUUCGGUAUUGAUAUGGAAAGGAAAAUGCCAUUGCCAAAAAGGUAUCCAACACAAUGCUAUGGUACACCAAGGAUUGUUCAUCAGAAUGGUACAUUAGGUUUCAGAAGAUCUUAUGUGGAUUUUCCUCACAGAGAUGAUCUCAAAAGUUUGGACAAUAAGGAGCUAAAUGUCCUGCUAUUCCAAAGGAAGUUUAGUGGUUUAAGCAAAGGGAAUUAUCUUCUUUUUUCACAUACAACGCCAUGUGUUUCAAUGCAGGUUUGUCCUCUUUGAUUGCAGGCGAGACCCUGCUAAGCAUUCACAUGCAUGGAAGACUUUUCCCGAUGGUCAAAGUUUGCUAUUCUUUUCUAUUUUGUUUUUCAGCAUUGAUCAGUGUGGGGGGCUGCUUCAGACAACAAAAGCUUCAAACUGCGACACCUGAAGAGAAAUUCAUGGUCUUUGAAGAAAUCAUGCCUCAUGCUAUUAAACUGGUGAUGGAUAUCUAUGGAAGUUAUGUGCUACAAAAGGUUUUAAUUGCAAUUAUUUUAAUUUUGAUGAUUUAGGUAAACACUACUAAAUUCACACACCUGUAUGCUUUACAUUUUCUACUAAGAUGAUCGAGCAGGGAACCCCGUUUUAAAGGAGGAAAAUUACAGCAUGGUUUUUUGGAAGUGUUUUAAGUAUAAGCUAUCAGAUAUAUGGAUCUAGAGUAAUCCAAAGGGUAAUGUGUGUUUUCCAUAUCUAAUAUCACUUCAACCUAUUGCAUAUCUGAUUUGCUUCAUAUACACAAGAUCUAGAUCAGAGUCUAAUAUUUUCUUCAGGGGGAGAGUUGGGAGGGGGGGGGGGGUCGGGGGGAAGGGGAUCGGUCAAAUUUGACACUUUGAAUGGCAAUGUCCACCCUUUCACUUGAUGCAUCCCCAUCGAUGUCAAUUAGUUAGGACACAACUUUACCAGGUAAGAGUUGGCCUUCACCAUAGCCACCUCAGCUAGAAAGUAGUGUGGGUGGGGGUGGCCACGUGGUGGAUGGUGAUGAUUACUGUUGGGUGUCAAUAUGGUCGACUUGGCAGAUCUAGCGGUAACCUGAGAUGGAUAGAUGGCAGACAUAGUGGAAGGGAGGUGGUGGAGGCAUUAUGCAGGAGAAUGUAGGCAACUUUGGCAUCAAAUGUGUCUCCUACACAAUAGGUGGCAACAGGAAAGAGUCUCACCGGUACCUGGAGUAGCUUCGAUGUUGGUGAGGUAGUCCAGGGCAAUGCAGGAGUGGUUGAUGGUGGCGGUGGCUAGGGUAUUAUGGCUUGUAGGAAAGACUAGGUGGAAAUAUAGGGACUAUAGGAUGUUUAGGGAAGUUGAGUCUCCGCGAAAAAAUUAUUGGAAAUAAGGGAUAGUAAAGGUAGUGAUAUUUGUCGAAGGAACAAGACUCUCCAUUGUUAGGACUAAUUUUCAUUAUAUACACGAAGCGUUGUGUUCCAAAAUUUCUGCAACUACAUAUUAUUUGAAAUAAAGCUCUGCCAUUAUGUUCAACUCGUCCUUCAUUCUAUCUUGUACUUGUGUUUGUAAAACACAUAAUUAAGCUAAUGCCCACAACUCAUUAAUUUUCUUGCGUCUUUGGCUAUAGAACUUGGUGAUCUAGACUAGAAGAUUCAGAUUGCCAAGGAGCUCAAUAAUGAUAUCAUGAAAUGUAUAUAUGACCAAAAUGCAAACCAUGUUGACCAAAAAUGCAUUGAGCAUGUGCCACCGCAAUUCAUAAAGUUCUUUCUAGAGGACAUGUAUGGCUGUGUUGUUGAGUUAUCAGUUCAUCCAUAUGGAUGCCAUGCUGUCCAGGUUUAAUUCUUUGCUUUUUGGUUAAUUAAUUUACAAUAUUUAUUUAGCAUGGAGUCAACAAACGAUAUACUUUCUCCCUUGUCUUUUCAUUUUCAGAGAGUUCCGAAGUACUUUGAUGAUCCAAUACAGGAAAUUUUUCUCGAAGAAAUUAUAGAGGAUGUCUACUACAUGACAAAAGAACAAUACGCUAACAAUGUUGUGCAGGUCAGCUACAGCUUAUAGUAUAAUUACCCUAUUGAUGUUGUUCACUGUUCUUUACAACUAUGCAUAAAUUCUACAUUAUUAGGAAAGCCCAUUAAUUCUAUUUUUCUUUUCGUGCCAAUUCUUCAUUAAUUCCCAUUUAGUUAUUGUUUGAAUUUUCUCUUUGCAGCACAUUUUGCAGCAUGGGAAAGCCCUUGUGCGAUCUUUAAUUAUAAAGAGAUUUAUUGGGAAAGUUGUGACCAUGAGCAAGCAAAAGUACGCUUCUAAUGUCUUUGAAAAGUGCUUGGUCUUCAGUAGCUAUGAUGAAACCCAGAAGAUUAUUAAUGAGGUCCUAACCAUAGCCAAGGUAAUAAAUAGUGGUGGUAGCGGCCGCUAUAGCGGCCGCAAUAGCGGUAGCGGUCCCCUCCCACUACCACUAUGGGGUAGCGGCAUGGAUGUAGCGCCCUAUAACAUAGCAGCCGCAAUAGCAGGUAGCGGGCCGCAAAAUUGAUAUAGCGGGCCACUAUAGCAGAUGGGCCACAUAUAUAUAUAUAUUUACCCUAAACCCUAGUCCACCUUUUCUCUCCACACAUUUGCAUCUAGCACGCCGCCACCAACACCGCAGGGCCUGCGUCGCGCGGCGGCGCUCCACGGAUUCAUCGGCCAGCCGGACGCCGGGCGGCGGGCGGCGGCUGCCGCUGAGUUGAAGAGCACCUCCCAUCUUGCCUCUUCGAUUCGAUGGCCAAACAUUAGUUGGUCAGUGGCUCAGCGCAGCACCGAUGCCGACUCGCCCUGUCCAUUGAUUUGAGUUUGAUUGCUAUUCUGUGCAGGUUAUCUUCUUCGUCGAGGUGAUUGCUUGCUUUCUGCUACCGGUUAAUGCUUAGUGGUUGGUGCUCAUUGUUGUGUUGAAGGCCUAAAGCUCAAGCUCAACUGUAAGAUCUGCAUUCUACUUGUACACAAAACACUAAAACACAUCAAUUUCCGUUGGCAUAAAGCAUAAUGGCAUGUUAAUAUUGUAGCAUAUGUAUAUAGUAUUUGCCUUUACAAGAGAUUUACACGUAGGACUUAAGAUUAUCAAUUUUUUUGUAGUUGCACAAUGUCUUCGGCUGCAUCAACUGCACGUUCAAGCCAAUCAACAUCAAGGAAAGAUCCAGCUUGGGAGUUUGCUUUACCGUUAACUGGAAAUGAAACUAAGAAUCAAGUUGGUUGCUUAUACUGUAAGAAUUACUUCAAGGGUGGAAUAACUAGGCUUAAGAGGCACUUGGCUGGAGUUAGAGGGCAGAGUGUUUAUUGCACACAAGUUCCUGAUGAUGUUAAGGAGAAGGUUAAAGCAAUGCUGGAUGCACAUGGUGAAAAGAAGAGUGCAAAAUUGGAUAGCCAGCUUCGAUUGAGGCAACAGGUUAAUAUCAAUGGAAAUGAUGAUGAGGAAAUGGAAGAAGUAGGAGAAGUUGAAGUUCAAGAAGCUCCAUCAGCUGCAGGAAGCACACUAGUCCGUAAGAAGCCCCGAAACAAGGGACCAUUGGACAGCUAUUGCAUGCGCCCUGAGGAACCUCGUGCUAAGGGAAAGCAUAUACAAACUACAAUGAGUAAACACUGUAAGGUCAAAGAGAGGGAAAAGCUCAUGAGUAUAUUGCAGAUUGGUUUUAUGAGGCAGCAAUUCCUCAUAACACAGUUUUUUCUCGAAUCUUUUGAUCUAAUGUUAGAGGCUAUUGGACAAUUUGGCGCAUGAUUGAAGCUUUAUAUGCUUGGCACUCCUUUAUUAAACAAACAUAUCAGUUUGUUGCAGGAAUAUUUGGAAGUGCAAAAGGAGUCAUGGUCUUCUACUGGAUGUUCUAUUAUCGCAAAUGCUUGGACAGAUCGGCGUGGAAGAAGCUUAAUGAAUUUGGUUGCUCACUGUGCUAGAGGUAUGUGUUUCAUUGAUGCCAUUGAUGCUUCCUUGGAGGUUCACGAUGGGAAGUACAUCUACAGCUUGGUAAGCUCUUGUAUUGAUGAAAUUGGUCCUAAAAAGGUUGUGCAGGUGGUCACUGACAAUGCUUCAAAUAAUAUGUCUGCAUCAAAGAUGCUUCAAGUGAAACAUCCUCACAUAUUCUGGACCUCAUGUGCUGCCCACUAUAUUGAUCUCAUGCUAGAGGAUAUUGGUAAGAUAACUAUGGUACAUAACAUUAUUCGAGAUGGAAAGUCUAUCACAAAUUUACUCUAUGCACAAGUUAGAUUGCUGGCCAUUAUGCGUCAAUUUACGAAAGGUGACUUAGUUCGAGCUGGUACUACUCGAUUUGCCACUAGUUACUUGAACUUGAAAAGUCUUUAUGAUAAAAGAAAUGAAUUGAAGCAAUUGUUUGCAUCACAAGAUUGGGCUAAAAGUUCCUGGGCUAAAAAGAUUAAAGGACAGAAUGCACACAACUUGGUCAUGAACAACAAGUUCUGGUCACAAAUGCUAGAGGUUAUAAAUUAUUUUGAGCCACUUGCAUAUGUACUUAGGAGGGUGGAUGGUGAUGUUCCAGCAAUGGGAUACAUUUAUGGUGAUCUUAUCAAAGCAAAGAAGGACGUUGCAGCAUGCCUAAAUGGAAAUGAGAAGAAAUAUAGUCAUAUUUGGAAAAUCAUAGAUGCAAGAUGGGACAGCAAGCUCAAGACUACAUUGCACAAAGCUGGGUAUUUCUUGAAUCCGUGCUUCUUCUAUGAGAAUAAGAGAGAAAUCAAGGAAGAUUUCCUGAUGCAAGCAGUUGUAGAAUGUGCAACCUGCAUGUAUCGUGAUGAUAUUACAGUGCAAGAUAUUUGUGUAGCUCAGCUUAGCCUGUACACUGAAGCCAUGGAUUCUUUUGGAACAACAAUGGCUAUUAGACAAAGAAAUAGUCCAACAAUCACCCCAGGUAACUUGAUUCUUAAUUUCUACCAUUAAAUGAAAAUAUCUUCAAGUUUGUUAAUCUACUUUUUGUUGUCAUUGUAGCAAAUUGGUGGUCUGUACAUGGAACUAGUGCUAAGGAUUUGAGGAAGAUGGCUAUCAGGAUUUUAAGUUUGACUUGUAGUUUCAUUUGCAUGCGAAAGAAAUUGGAGUGCAUUUGAGAGAGUAAGUUCUCCAAAUAAUUCUGCAAUUCAUUAUUCACUGUUAAUAUAUCUUGAAGAAUCUGAAAUGCUUGGAUAUUAUAUACAUGUAGGUCCAUUCUAAGAAAAGAACUAGAUUAGGCCACCGAAAAUUGAAUGCUCUGGUCUUUGUCAUGUUCAACAAGAGGCUGAAAUCAAAAUAUUCUCAAAAGGAUAGGGAUCCAUUAGUUGCUAAAUUUAUAGAUGAUGAUCCACCAAAUGAAUGGAUUAUAGAUGAUGAUGCACCUGCACAACAACCAGAAGUUGAUGCUCAGAGUGCAGCUGUCAGUCGAAAGAGAAGAUUAAUACAUAAAAAAUCAUCAAGUAAAGCAAAGAAAGCAUGCGUUGUGGUCGAAGAGGAGGAGGAAGAAUUUCAAUCUUCUAACAGUGAACAUGAAGAGGAGGAAAAUAUUCCUUAUGCAGAUGGUUCAAGUGACCAUGAGCUUGAUGACGUUGGUGAGAAUGACAACGAAUGACAUGUUCCUCAGUUGUUUUAUGGCUCCCAUGAUCUUGUAUUCUCGUUUGUUGUGAACUUGUGAUUCCUGUUGGCUGGCUUGUGCAUGCACUGAGACUUGAGACCAUGUUUGUGUCUUAAAUUUAAGUUAUGUUGGAAUGACAUAAACUCUUUGAGGGCAAGUAUACAAAUAAAUGUCUAUUUUCUCAAAUUUACAUGUGAUUAUUUAAUGCCGCUAUUGGAACUUAGCGUCCGCUAUCUGCGAUCCGCUACCAAGACCCCAAUCCGCUACCAAUCUGCUAUCUGCUAUUUUUGAACCUAUAGUGCCAAUACCUCAUCAAAAGUGGUGAAACUGAAGCUCUUAUGGUAUGUAUCCACAUCCUCCCAAUUAUGUGAUUCUUAGGUGACUACAUGAAUAUAUACAUAGAAAUGAAAAAAACUUAAAGUUAACAUAAAAGAGUUAAGUCAAAAGAGAAAAAAACGUAAAACCCAUUAUGUUUAUUACACUGGUCUUGAAAUUAAUGUUUACAACAGUAGUCAAAUUAUGUCUAUUACACAAAUGCUCCAUUGAACUGAUUCACAACCUUUGUUCUAGCUUAUGAACCUGGUCUUAAGUAUGUGUUUCUUAAUUAAUUUCUAGGCAAUUAAUUAAUGCAGGUUAUGGUGAAUGACCAAUAUGCCAAUUACGUUGUGCAAAAGGUGAUUGAGACAUGUGACGAGUGCCUGAGGAUGCGCCACAGGCAGCUCCGCAACUGCACCUAUGCAAAGCAUGUCGUUGCACGGAUAGAGAGGCUCAUUGAAGCUGGAGGUAGGCCAUCAAUCUGUUUUCCCUCCCUAAUAUAUCACUCAAAACAGUCAUGACAUACAUACAUACAUACAUACAUACAUACAUACACAUAUGUAUGUAUGUAUGUAUAUGUAUGUAUAUAUAUGUAUGUAUGUAUAUGUAUGUAUAUAUAUGUAUGUAUGUGUAUGUAUGUAUAUGUAUGUAUGUGUGUAUAUGUAUGUAUGUGUGUAUAUAUAUACAUAUAUAUAUAUAUAUAUAUACAUAUGUAUAUACGUAUACAUACAUAUAUAUCCAUAUAUACGUAUAUAUACGUAUAUAUGUAUAUAACACGUAGACCAUACGAACAGUUGGAUGGCUAUGAUGUGUAAGGGAACACAAGAGUCGUAUCUAAUUUGAUUUUUUAUGUCGGUGUUUACUCACAUAACUUCGUCUAAAUGAAAAACUUAAAAUAAAGAAGGCUAUAAUACAAAUAACUAAUAUUCGAAAAAAAGUUUGUUUUUCGGCCAUAAUCUAGGACCUAUAUGUCUGUUACAUGUGUCGGAUCUAGAUAAAAACAAUACAUAUAGUAUUGGCACUAUAGGUUCAAAAACCAGCACCCGAGCCGAACUGAUCGAACCAGCGCCUUUAUCCAAUAUCUUCAUUAACCCAGCCUUAUACAUCCGCCUCCCCCCAUCCUCCAUCCGAGCUAACGCCUCUCUCUCUCUCUCUCUCUCUCUCUCUCUCUCUCUCUCCAUACUCCAAUCCCCAUCCUCCUCCCCCCAUUAUUCUCCCCCACCUCCUCCAAAUCUGCCUCCCCACGUCUCUGUUGCGAGGUGGCGGCCGGCAUCGGUAGCGGUGGUGAUGGCGGAGGUGGUUGCGGUGUUGCUUCCUCCUCCACCGCCCUCUCCUCCAGCCGUUUUCUUCUCCUGGCCCAGUCUUAACUAUGUGUUUCUUAAUUAUUUUCUGGGCAGUUAAUUAAUGUAGGUUCUGGUGAAUUACCAAUAUGCCAAUUACUUUAUGCAAAAGGUGAUUGAGACAUGUGAUGAGUGGCAACACAAGAUAAUACUUGAGUGCCUAAGGAUGCGCCAUAGGCAGCUCCGCAAUUGCACCUAUGCAAAGCAUGAGGUUGCACGAAUAGAGAGGCACAUUGAAGCCGGAGGUAGGCUAUCAAUUUGUUUUCCCUCCCUAAUAUAUCACUCAAAACAGUCAUGAUAUAUAUAUAGCAGAAAAUGCAUAAAAACACAUAUUCGUUUUGUAAAAAUGUGUUUGGCAUUUUAUUUGUGUCUAAACCCCGGCCUCUUGCUGAUGUUACAUCUUCUCUAGAGCGCAUAAUGAUGAUGCAGCCCAGGCACUCCAGUCGACAUGGAAAGGAGCUGAGAUACCCUAAAGAUCUGGAAAUGAGCUGAAGAGAUGGAAACCCUUGCUCGUUCAGCAUUGUCACUGACAGGUGGGUCCUUUAAUCGGUUGUGACAGUUAAGGCGGUUUCCGGACGGUUACACCUGACAUGUGGGCCCUACUUAUCCUCUAGCUUGCUUUGGAGUGAGGUUUCUUCACUUUCUCUUUAUUUUAUUUGCUAAAUUCCUGCAACACAUUAUUCUCCAAGUACAAGUGGAACUAUUUUAUUCUAAACAAUUAUGCAUUAUAAGCAUAGCUAAUUCUCCUUUAUUAUAGUUAUAUUGAAGGUCAAAAUUGGUCUAUAACGACCGUCAACACCCCUCCAGUCGAAAAAGUUUUUUUUAAGUCUUAGGUGGAGUCCUAGCUUAUACCCAAGUUGAGCGCCUGUGAAGAACUCUUAGCUAGUCUGCUGCUAUUUUCCUUUUGUUGUUAGUCGUAAUGUGCCUUUGUAAUAAUGUAAAUACUAUCAUUAUAAAUAAUAAAGAUGUGUCGGUGUACCCCCAACUUUUCAUGGGAUGGGGAAUAAUACACUAGUGUUUGGGAAUGGUAUUUCUGGGUGUGACACCUUUAUCCUAAAAACUCAUAGAGAUGACAAUAACAUGUGAUAUAUGUUGGAGCUCUUUUUAUUAUAUCUCUAUUCUCUAUUUAUAUAUAAUAAUAAUAUGCAUGUGCUAAAUGUUGCGGUGCAAUUCUAUUUAUCUUUAAUAAUUUUUAAAAUUUCAUGUUAGACAAAAAUAUUUUUAUAUGAUUUGUGCAUUUGAUCUUUAAUGCAAUUCAUGUCGUACAUUAAAUAUAUUUCAUGUAAAGUACAAUAAUAUGAUAUUGAGUGGGCACAACAAAUCUCUAUAAGAAUUAAUUAUAUAUAAUCACAUAAAAUAUACGAGGGCAAUAAUACUUAAAAUAUGUUAAAAAAAGUAGAGUUAUUACAUUAUUUGUUGCAGGCAUAAUAUAAAGUAUUUGAUACAUAUAUAGAAUAUACCAUGUAGGUAAAUAACUAUCCUAAUUCUGAGCAUUUAUGAUACACUUCAGAAAUUCUCAUGUGUCACAUGGAAUGUUGCUUUCUCACUCAUUUUGCUGGUACAUCACUAGAUGUGGCACAAAUUGUUGCCUUAGCUCGUCACCAUUCUGCAAAUGUAUUUGUUUAUAAAAUAAACAAUUGUAUUAUAAAAUAUAAUAUAAUAUUUUGAAUGAUCAAUGUUAGUCGGGAAUGACCAUAAAGCCAACAAAUGUAGUGCUCCACAUUUCCAGGUUCGCAUGAAGAGAUGUACGUGACAACCCGACAAGCUCCUAAGAAAUUUGAAUAGUUAGCUACCUUGGGAGAGACAAAUAAAUUUAUUGGUUACCUGUCAAGAACCGGAUUUGACAAUUAUUUGACGUGACAAGUUAAUAUCCUCGGUCCACCUUGAGACAGGACAUGCCACAAGCAUGGCUAUGCUAAAGUAGUCAGCAAUGGUUAACAAUGUUUUGCUAUAUCUCAUAUUUGGUUUAUUCUUAUAGGUUGGAAUUAAUGGAUUAGGGUCUAGUACAUAGAGUGUUAUGCUUUCUUGGUCUAGUAUGACCAGGAUAUAGCUUCCAACGACACGUACUAGUUCAAGAAUCUAAAAAAAGUAGUCCAUUAAGAUAAUAUUAAAAAACACAACGAUAUAAAAACAAAGGAUAGCCAACUUACCGAUUUGCAUUGUGCAACUUUAUAAUGAAUUUUCAACCAGCUACCUACAACCCUGCAAGGUCUAUUUUUUUAUGGAACUUCAAUCCAGUAGCAAUCUAUAUGAUGUAUAAUAAUUGUUUAAAACAAGAGCCAAAGAAGUCAAUAUUGGCUAUAUUAUAAAAAAUUACCUUGUAAGUCUAGGAAAUGUUUUGUUAUUAAUUCGUUAGUUUUCUGGACCGUCUGGAUGUUUUCAUACAUGAACUUAUGCACGGACAUGUUGAAGCAGUGACGGUCCAGUGGUUCAUACUUGUUUAGUACUGACUGAAGUUUUCUGACACUCAAUUUAAUGGUGUGUGUCCAUGAACUUUGCACCCAUAUGUUCCUAUCAAUCAAAAAGAAAAUAGGUUGCUGCAUGUUUAAACUAUAGGGUGGAUACACCAUACAGAAGUCGCCUGCACAAGGGUUUCAGUAAAUUUAUUUGUUGGAUGUAGCGGAAAAGGCCGCCUAUCAACUCUUGUAAACUCAUCGCAAAAACCACGGAAAGGAGGGAACUAUAUUUGUGUUAAUCCAUUUCAUCUACCCAUAAAAGUUCAGUAGUGAACAAACAAUUACUUUUUACAAAUGAAUGAGUUAAGGCAUUCAUCUUUUAUGGAAAAACAUAUACCCCGUGUUCAGGAGGGUGACCUCUCUAUAGAGGCGAUUAUAAACGCGUUGAAGUGGACCCAAGACCCAAAUACACAAUUACACCAGCAAUGUCUGCAAAAAAAAAAAAGGUCAGCCAGUAUGACUGACAACACAAUUCAUUUUUUUUCCAGCAAUAUAAGAUGCUAUUAUUAAAAACAUACCCACGAACGUCUUAUUACGAUUUUCUAGCAAUGCCAGGUCACUAAAAUUUUCGAGUUGUUUGGGGGUACAGACGAAACUACGGCGUGGCAUUAGAUUAUAUGAGUCGACUAUAGUAUCUCUAGUGAAAAAACAGUCAUAAUUCCUUUUUAUUGUUCAGAAAUUGAGUUCCCAUGAAUCAGGCUAGAAAUAAACACCAUAUAUGUUAUUUUCGUCUUUUGAUCAAAAUAUUGUUAAACCUUGUGUCAUAUUUUCUACUUAUAAUUGCUUCUAUUUUCGAGCCCUACAUAUGUACCAAUCAUAUUGUAUAUUUAGUCGAUGGUAGUACAUAAUCAUAUGCACAACUUGUGCAUGCAAGACCUGUUGUGCGUGCAAGACCCGUUGUGCAUGUGAGACCCAUUGAGAAUGCAAGACCCGAUGAGCAUAGGUAAGUUCAGUUUAUUGAAUUGGUUGAACUGAAAGUAAUAAUUUUUUCUGUUAUAUGAUUGACUGCUUGUUUGUUUCAAAAGUUUGAAGUACUUUGACGAUGUUGAGUUUGAUGAUUCCAAGGUAAAGAGAACAUUUAGUGUUAUUGUCAUGGUAGAUGUCAUGCUUCGUAUGCUUCAUAUUGAUGGAUACUACUGUAAGUUCCAUUUCCUUUUUCAAUAUGAAAAAAGUAGAUAAAAACUGAAAUACUAUCAUUAACUAAAUAUGCAAUAUGGUUGGUACACUUGUAGGGCUCGAAAAUGGAAGCAAUUGUAACUUGUAAGUGGAGAAUAUGCAACAAGGCUUAACAAUAUUUUGUUCAAAGGACGGAAAUAUACCAUACAUGGUAUUUAUUUCCAACCUAAUUCAUGGGAACUCAAUUACUAAGCAAUAAAAAGGGAUUAUGACUACUUUUUCGCUAGAGAUACUAUAGCUGAGUCAUCUAAUCUACCGCUGCAGUUUCCUCUGUACCCCAAACAACUCACAAAAUUUAGUGACUUGGCAUUGUCAUAACAUCGUCAUAAGACGUUCGUGGGUAAGUUUUCAAUAGUUGUAGCUUAUAUUGCUGGAAAAAUGUUGAAUUGUGUUGUUGGUAAUAUGCUGGCUGACAUUUUGUUUGCAGACAUUGUUGGUCUAAUUGUUUAUUUGGGCCUUCAUCCGGAGCCGACUGAGAAAGGAAGCCAUUACUUGAGUCUAGCGAGCUACACCCCGAGCAAGGAAAAAAAGGAGAGUAUGUUUGAAUGCCUGGAGAGCAUCAAGGUACCGUUCGGAUACUCCUCGGAUAUAAAGAGAAUAAUAAGCACGAAGGAUAAGAAGUUCACAAACAUAAAGUCUCAUGACGGUCACUUGCUGAUGACACAGCUGCUUCCUAUUAUAAUUCAUCGUAUCCUUCCUGAGCAACUCAUGUGCUCUGCCUCGUUAAGGCUCGUGAGCAGCUCGCGAGCUAGCUCGUUAUCUCCAACGAGCUUUGAAGCCAGCUCGGCUCAUUAUGAAAUUCAAACGACGAGCUGAGCCAAGCUUGUCACGAGCCGAGCGAGCUAACGAGCCACGAGCUUCCUGUCCACCCUACUCACGCAGGAGCACUCUGAAAGGCCAAGAACCAUUACUCCUAUACUAUCUCUGAGUACUGGCAUGUGGGAUCCUAGCUACUAGCUAGUGGACGAGCACGUCUGCCCGCGCCGCCGUUGUGCGGCCAUCCGACCUACACCGCCACCUCAUCGACCUUCUCUGGAGCAAGGAAGGCACCGACGUUGUCAUCGAGCUAGGCAACGACGGUGAGACGACAGAAGGACAGCCUAACGGGCGACGAGGAGAAGGGCGGUGGCCAGUGGGAAGGAGUGGUGCGCGACGGACGAUAGGAGAAGAGUUGGCAGAUGGCAUAGAUGGAGGUGACGGCAAGGGUGGAAUGCGGGAUGGAGCGAUCGAGGUAGUACUGGUAGGCCCACGAGUCCUUGGUCCGCCACUUGGCCACCACCGCCACGGUGCCUGUCGUGCUGGAGUCGGCUACGCCUUUCAUGAAUCCUGGACAAACAGAUGAGUAGUGAAGGAGGCGGCGGCGGAGGAGGGAGCGAUGACCUUGCUGCGAAUCCUUCCAUCGAUGCCGAUGUAAUGCAAUGUGGGUCGAUCUUUUCUAUGUUUCAUUGGUGUUGGUAGUGUGUGCAGCGGAGGAGGCGGAGGUAGGCGCGACGGACGACAUAAGCGCCACAUUAGAUGAAGACCAAAUCAAAUAAGCCACAUAAGCGCCAUAUCAGCCGAAACAGCUCUAAAUACUGCCAAGGGACUAAAUUUGCACUGGUUUUAGAAGUUGGAGGACGUUCAAUACCCGGUUUUGCAGCUGAAGGAUGUGAAUGAAACUCGACUUAUAGUGGAGGGACGUAAAGUGGACUUUUCCCUAUUCUACUCCAAACCUAGUAGACAAAAACUCGGCCCGUCUCCACCAUCCACGAAAUACCAAGGAGAAGCCAUUCCAUUCCCCCCCACCGACCAGUGGCCGCCGCACCACGCCGUCUCCGAUCAUCUCCCUGAGCCGGCGAAGCCGCUGAGCUAGGGGAGGGCGCCACCGGGAGGCGGCAUGACCAUCCUGGUCUGGAUUCUGAGGGAGAAUGGGUAUAAUAUUCCACCUCAGUCCUCAGUCCCGCCCGGAGCCACGGCCCGCGGCACAUGGACGACCUAGCCGGCGGCGAGGGAUGGUGCCGUUUUGUCGCCGUCGUUGGGGGCGACCACGAACCUGGAAGCGGGAGUGGCGCAGUCGUCUCCGAGGUCUCGAGUUCGAUCUAUUUGUCACCGAGAAAAUUGGAGCUCGAGCAGCCAUGGUGGAGCUCGCGCCUGGUGGGCUGUCGGCCAACGCCCGCCGCCAACCCCGGCGCUCUCCGCAAGGUAGCCUUCCUUAUGAUUUCAGCUUAGUUAUUUAGUUAUUGUACCAUGGGGUCGAGUGUGCACUAGCCUCAUUAAAUAUUCCAAUGCAUAAUCCAGUUUCUCUCUCUGUUUGAAUUUAGUCUCACCUCAAUACUGACGAAUCUGCUGGUGCUAAUUGGGACUAAUGUUGGAGAGCCAUAGCUGUAAUAAUAAUGCCUCAGCCCUGAGAAAAUGCCUGGAAGAAAUCAAUUUCUGGGCUGUGCGAUUGAAUAGUAAAGACAGAGACAUAAUCCCUGCGUGGAAAAAGUAAUUUCUUCCUCCCAUCAAUCUCCCCAAUUGUUGUAAUCUCUAUGCUAUGUCACCCCCAACAGUUGUUUCUGUGACUUGGAAUGAAAUUCAGGUGGGGAAGCUCUCCCCCCGGUGACUUGGUCUAAAGAAAAAACUUGGUGGAAGUCACUUGGCACAAGUGGUGCUGGCAAGGGACACGAGCCUGACUGGAGAGUGAGUACCCUGCUUGAAUUAGAUGUUGGAAGGAUGAUCAUCGGGCUAGGAUCUGCAGGAACUCCUGCGCAUAUAUGAUCCAGGAACCAGCACUGAGUGUAAGCAGGCCUCCAGUGGCGCAGGUCUCCGUCUCUCCAAGGUUUCCAGCAGGUUGUCGAGCAAUGGCAGCCCUAAUCCAGGCACUCUCUGAUGGUUAGCCUCCCCUUCCAUCUCAGCUCACCAUGGGUCCCAUUUCUCUGUUGAAUCCUUGAAUUUGAAAAUAGUUUAAUUACUGCAAUAUUAAUUACUUUGCUGGUGCCAAUUGGUAGUUUGGUACUGUACUACUGAUUAUUUUGGAACCAUCACUGUAAUUUUUUUUUAUAUAUGAAAAAGGCAGAAGCUCUGCCUAGUCAAUUAAGAAGAACAGAAAGAAACAUACAUAGAGGUUCUCAGUUACAAUUUGGAAGAAACUAAUUAAAAAACUAAGGACAGAAUGUGCAUACCACCAAUCUUUUUUGUACAGAAUGUGCCAGUUGGAUCUUUCCAUCAAGGCUAAAUCAUGAGCAAACAAUUUUCCAUGAAUUGACCCUCUUUGAUCAUAGUCCCAUCCUAGCAAGAUGGAUUGGCCAUCCGAUGAUGAUAAUGCCUCAGUGUUUUCAGUGAAUUGAAUUAAUGGGGGUAUGGCUUCUUCUGCUUGAGACAUUCAGUUUGUUCAGAUACUAAUAACUAUUGCUUUUAGUUUACUUUCUUACCCUCAAUUUGCUUUUAUGAUUGUUUAGUUGUGAAUAGUACUUCAGUUUGCAGACAAUAUGAUCAGAUCAAACUUGAUGGAAGUCACUCGGCAUUACUGCUGCUGGCAAGAGAGUAGAGAGUAGAGAAAAGGGAAACAGGUCAGACUAGAGAGUACCCUAGUUUAUUGUAAAGUCACUGCUGGCCAGGAUCGUAGGACUGCAGCAGAUAUGUGAUCCAUUUGCAGAAGUGGAGAUGACACGUCUUGCUGUAGUUGUCCUGUGACAAUAAGCCUAAGGAGUUUUUACAAAAUUGUGGCAUGGUGCUCUCUUCAGAUUGUAGUUAAACAGUUUCCAAGGAAUCAUACUAUUAAUCUGAUCUUCAGUUUCUUCAGAUAACUUUGCUUUCAUGUUUGUUUGGUUGUAGAUUAAUGUCUUAGUUUGCAAAAACUGAGCAGAUUAAACUUGGUGGAAGUCACUUGGCACAAGUGCUGCUAGCAAGGGAAACGAGGAACACUAGAGAUUUGAGUACCCGCCCAGUACAAUUUAUAGCCACUGCUGGAACUAGAUGUUGGAAGGGUAGUCUUUUGGGUAGGAUCCAAAAGACCCCUGCACAUAUAUGAUCCUGGAAUAUGCACGUAUAAGCCUCUAGUGGUGCAGUCCUCUCCAAGGUCUCUGGCGUGUUGUCGGGCAAUGCCUACGAUCCCGAAGUUCUCUGCCUGUUAGUCUCCCUUUCCAUCUCGGCUUACCAUGGGAGAACCUGGCCUUUAGAUUGUGCACUCAUAAUGUUGAAUUCGGUAAUAUCCUAAACAAAAUCAAUUUUCUCUCUGUUGAAUACGUCAAUUCGGUCAUGUUUAGAUUACUUCAAUAUUAAUUAGUGUACUGAUGCCAAAUAGUUCUGAACUACUGAUCAUUUUGGAAGCCACGACUGUUUUUUUCGAAGAUAAAAAAUGGUAGGUGCUCUACCUUUCCAUCAAGGCCAAAUCAUGAGCAAACAAUUUGCCAUGUAUGAAUGAAGAAUUGACACUAUUUGGCUAAAUGGAUUGUAGUCUCAUCCUCCAUGAUCCACAAAGCAGGCAAGUUAAAUUUCAUAGCCAUCCCAUGAGGCCAUGAUGGUAAUGCCUUAGUUUUAUCAGUGAGAUGUUCUUCUGCCUCAGAUGUUCAGUUUGCUCAGAUACUAAUAGCUCUUUUUUUAGUUUACUUACUCACCCUCAAUUUGCUUUUAUGUUUGUUUAAUUAUAGAUAGUACUUCAGUUUGCAGAAGAUGAUCAGAUCAAACUUGGUGGAAAUCACUCAGCACAAGUGCUGCUGACAAGAGAGUAGACAGUAGAAAAACAGGCCAGGCACAUAUUCCAGAAGUACCCCAGUACAAUGUAAAGCAACUGCUGGCUAGGAUCAGUAGGACUGCAGCACAUAUAUGAUACAUCUGCAGAAGUGGAGUUCACACAUCUUGCUGGAGUUGGCCUGUACACAAGACGCCUACUAAGUUUUUAGAAAAUUGUGAUUAAUCUGUUUCGAAGGAAUCAUACUGUUAAUGGGUGUGCAGGAAUCGUUCUCUUGUUGUAUUGGAGCCUGCAAAUAGUUGUACAUUCUUAGAGAUGCCAGCUGUUUUUUUUUUUUUGUACAGUCUUAAGUAAUUGUAAAUGUAAUGUAAGAUGUAAUUGUCAAUAUGCAUCCUGGUGCCUGGUGACAUGAAUUAGGGGAGCUGCAGCACUGUAAAUUGAUGCAAGAGAAGUGCCAGGGUUCCAGUGGCACUCAUGUUAUCUGAAGUGGCUGUUCUAUGUUCUCUGAGCUUAUAUCAUGUGUCAUCCAUUGAGGUCAAAAUUCUUUUGUGUUGAGUGAUGAACUGAUGAUGAGUUGUUGCAUGUUAUCACUUUCAGUCAAUAAUUCAGUAACAAUGGUGCAUGGUCAUAAGCAUUGCUCAUGGUGAAUCUGAAAUUGCUCUAUCUGGAGCCUGUCGUCAAUUCUUGAAGUAGUGUGACAAAUCAUUGACCUUCAUUAAAUGUGCACCAUUCAAGAAGUUUUACAAAUCAAUGAACUGAAUAGUAAGGAAUAUAAUCAUUGAAGUUGAACAGGUUACAAUAAUGUUACUUACAUUGAUUUCAACCAAUCGACAGCAAUCUCAACUAAUAAAUCACAUGUUUUGCAUAUGCUUAAUUACAAUCAGUUAUUAGUAUCAACUAAUGAACGGAUAAAUACAGGCCGUUCCAGGAGACCAGGACACAACAAGGAAGAGAUCAGACAUAAAAAAAAGUUGAUUAUUUUAUUAUUGCAAAAUCAAUGAUUAAAUACAACAAUGUAACUAAUGAAUAAUGAUUAAUUUCUAUUCUACAAUGAAUAAUUAGCUUUACAGCUGCAACUACAGUACUACACUAAACGUACAACUACAAAUCUAAUUAUCUAUCUACAAAUCACAGAGAUGGGAAAAGUCUUCGACUUUGAUUAGAGACUUGGACUCCCAUGCCGUUGCUUGUUGCUGUUCAAGCGCUGGAUUUCUUCUUCUUGUUGCAGAGGCGCUCGUGCACCACCCCGCGCAGAUCAUCGUCGAUCUUCUCCCAGACGGCGGCCGGCAGCGUGGCGCAAUCUGUCCACAGCCCGGGAUGCACGUACGCCUGGCGACACAGGGUGUGGGCCAUCGAGUUGCCCUCCCGAUAUAUGUGUCGCACCUCGACGUCCGCGAAGCAGCGGAGCAGGUCCAGGAUUUCCUCGUGCAUCGCCGCCGGGAUCCUCGUCUGCGUCUCCUCGCCGCGGAUGAGCUGAACCAGCACCAGGUCGUCGCCCUCGACGACAAGCCGCUCGACGAAGCACGCCAGCGCGAGCCUCAGCCCCCGGAUCAUCGCACGGGCCUCCACCACGCCAACCGUCCAGUGCUCCGUGAUCUCCGCGAAGGCGAGCACCACGCCACCGUCGCAGCCGCGGAUCACGCCGCCGAUGCUCGCUCGCCGGGAUCCGUCGUCAUACACGCUGCCAUCAAAGUUGAGUUUGCACCACCCCCCCGGCGGCGCCCACCAUCUGACGAUCACCCGGCUCGGCUUAAAUGGCGGCGAGGACGGGGACAGCGGAGUGGAGCAGCGGGGAACCGGUGGUGGCGAAGGAAAGAUCGACGGCAAGAAAGCCAAACCACCGCCGCCGCCGCGACCGUCAUCAGGGACCCGGAGCCUCCCGCCGUCCACGCACAUCCUCUGCCCCUCGACACUGCUCCUCUGCCGCUUUCCGUUCCCCUUCUUGGCCAAGAAGAAGGCCUCGUCGCCGCGGCCGUGAUCCGCGAGAAGAUUCCACGGCGGCGGCGCGCUCAGGGGAUCCGCCUCGAGGAUGUCGCCGCCGAGCGGGAGGGGCUGGCCCUGGAGGCGCCGGAGCAGGCAGCGGCCGACGAGCUCGUCGUCGCUGGGAUCGAGCUUGAGGCCCGGGAGGAGCCCAUCCGCGCCAGCCGCAGCCGCCGCCAUCGCCACCGGAUCGCCUGAGGAUUUCUAGGGUUUUGGUGGAGAGAAAGCGUGGGCGCGUGGGUGAGAGGAGAUGAUCAGAUGAGGAGAGGAAGCGUGCGUGUGGAUCGUCUGAGCGAGGCGGGAUUUGAACUUAUAGAAGGCGGUGACGUCAGCGCGAGUCAGCGUUGUCUGCACGCGCUCUUCCUCCCGCAGGAGCAACGGUUGAGGGUUUAACGCCUUAACGGUAUUGACUUCGAAUUUGGCAUUUGUUUCGAUUUAGUCCCAAAUUCCAAGAUUUUGAACUAUCGCUGAUCGUUCACGCUAUAUAAUUUUACUGCUCAUGGUGAAUUGAUGAUUCUAAAAAUGCUAUCUGCAGCCUCCAGGUGCAAAUCCCUGAUUUUUUUUUUAUUUUCUGAAGGAUUUUGGCAUUUUGCCCAUGUCUUGGACUUCUGGAGGAUUUACCUGAGGGACAUUGGGUUAACUGAAUUGAGGAAAGCAGAGUAUUGUUUACUUCUGAAAACAGGGGAACUGAAGGGGAAACACAGAUAACAGAGAAUAGAUGAUGAUUUUCAUUUUUAAUGGAAUAUCUCUUCAAGAGUAUAUAGAUUUGAUGUUCAGAGUGUGUUCAUUUAGUUUAAAAAAUAUGUCCAGAUGUUAUAUUUGAGAAUAGGUUUUCUUGUUCUCAACAUUGUCAGCAGUCUUUCUGUUGUUUUACCCUUGCCAAUGCCAGGACCCAAUGUUCAGAAACGGAGAUAUUCAGACAUCAGAAUUCAGAGAAGUUCAGAAAUAUUUUUGUAACACAGUGAAAACUGCAGGCAUUGUAGUUGUAUCGGUUGAGUGAUUUCACUUCAAGGACAUUCUAGUUGUUGUUAUGGCUGGAGUUAUUGUCAGUAAUCACUGCUUACACUAAUCAUUUUUUAAUAGUUUAGGCGUGAGAUGGCCAUGUGCAUCCACGUUAGGAUACAGAGGAUGGGCGUUACCCAUUAUCUAAAAAAAGGAGUGAGAUUACAAUUCUGAGCGGAGUUUACUUUUGAUUUAAUGUGAUGACGCUGUAAAACACUUAUAGGGUUCAAUGUAAUGAAGCAACUACUUAUGGAAAACAAGAAAUUUCAAAUAGGUAGGUUACAAAAUUUCCUGAAAGUUUUAUUGACGUUGAGAAAUAAUGGGGGACCCAAAACCUGAAGUCUCAGGAUUUUUUAUUUUUCUCACAAUAAAAUUGUGAACUGUGGUAUGUGGAUAUGAAUGUGAAAGUGCUAUAAUGCUUGAAUGUUCAUCUGUAUAAGCUAUCCAAUGACUUGGACCCUAAAAUCAGUUCACAAUGUAAUACAAACGUUGAAUUAUGCAUUAGUUUCACAUAAUAACUGAAGAGGGAGGGGGGACAGAGCAUUGCUUACUUCUGAAGACAAUGAAACUGAAGGGCCAAAGUUCAGAAAUUUGAAGCCAUUCACAGUCAUCAGAAUUCAGAGUUCAGAAAGAUUUUUGUAAUAGAGUGAAGUCUGCCGGCAUUGUACCUGUCUACCUGUUGAGCACUUUCACUUUAAUGACAUCUGAUGAACAAGAAGACAAGGAAGAGAUGGCCUAGAGAUUAUGUGUCUGAAGCUCUUGUCGAUAAUCACUGUUUAUAUUAAUCAUAUAUUUAAUGGUAUAGGCGUGAGAUUACAAUUCAUAAUAGAACCAAUAAAUUUCUUCUUAAAUUUUUAUUGAUGUUGACAAAUAGCAGGGAAUCUGAGCAACCUGAAGUCUUAGGAUUUUUUGUUUUCUCACAAUAAAAUUUUGAAUUGUGGACAUGAAUGUGAAAGUUCUAUAAUGCUUAAAUAUUUUCUAUAUGAGGUAUCCGAUGACCUCAGUUUUGUCAGUGAAUUGAACUAGUGUCCAGUGAGGAUAUGGCUUUUUUCUGCUUGGGAUGUACAGAUUUUUCAUAUAGUAAUAACUUUUUUCUGUCGAUUUGCUUACUCUUAAUUUGCUUUUAUGUUUGUUCAAUUGCUUACUCUGCACGCCCGACGAUGCUGUGGUGUUCUUCAGGCCUUCGGCUGUGGAAGCUCAUGCCAUCAAAGGGAUUCUGAAUGUGUUUGGGGAAGCGACGGGCCUGAAGACAAACUUCUCCAAAAGCGCAAUCACGCCGAUACAAUGCAGCGAGCAACAGCCAACAGCGUGAACUGGUGGAGUCCAUCCUUCUGUGUCGUAUAGGAGAUUUCCCCUAUAACAUAUCUUGGUCUUCCUCUUGCGAUCAGGAAGCCAAUGAAAGCUGAAAUCCAGCCGAUCCUCGAUAGAUUGGCCAAGAAGGUCUGCUCACCAAUAGAAAAAGGCGGUCUAGGACUGAAGGAUCUGAAUCUCUUUGGUCAGGCUCUGAGAUUACAGUGGCACGCAAAAUCGCUGGAGCAGAAGGAGAGACCAUGGACAAUGGCAAGUUUUCGACCAGGAAAUGAUGUUGACACAAUCUUUCGAUCGGCGGCAGAGUAUAUCGUCGGUGACGGCACUGAUACAGAGUUCUGGACAAGUAAUUGGACCAGGAAAGGAUGCUUUGCUUGGCGGUGGCCAAUCCUGUUCUCAUAUGUGGGGCGAACCAAAUUAUCGGUCGCCAACGCCGGUUAGAGGGCUGCAAGGUUCACUGACGAAUGAAGCACUGGGUGAAUUCUUCCAAUUAUGGGAUGAAGUACAGAAUGUCUCUCUGCAGGCGGCGGCUGAUGGAAUCAAAUGGAUUGCCCUUACGGCAGCCUCGGCAUAUGAUCUUUUCUUCAUGGCAACAGAGGAUUGCCCUUAUGGCGAGCUGCUGUGGCACUCCAGGGCACCGUCACGCGUCAGAUUCUUCAUGUGGAUUGCGCUGAAAGGCCGGUGCCUCACUGCUGAUAAUUUGGCCAAGCGAAACUGGCCGCAUGAUGUUCUAUGUCCUUUGUGUCAACGAGAAGAUGAAGACUGUCACCACCUGUUCGUGUCCUGCGAUUACACGGCUGCAGUCUGGAGGAAAAUGAGAGCAUGGUGCAACGCAAACUUCACCAUACCGGCAGACAAGAACAGAUCGUUGGCUGAAUGGUGGCUGACUGAGAGACGGCGUUUUCGGACGAGCUACAGGACGGAUUUCGAUAGCGCUUUCAUGCUAAUCUGCUGGGUGAUUUGGAAAGAGCGCAAUGCCAGGAUUUUUCAGAACGUCUCUAGGACACAUGAGUCGCUAGAGGAUGACAUCACAGAAGAGACAGCUGUUUGGAGAGUAGCCGGGGAUUUUCUCCCAAUUUGGCGAGUAAUCACGUUUGUUGCUGCAGAGGGUUACUCCCUCCCUUCGUACUCUUUCAUUUCAGUGUUUAAGCUGGUCUCAAUCUUUUGAGACUGGCACCACAUCCUUGUGUUGUUGUAACAACAUUUUUCUCGCCCAAAUCUUAAUGAAAUUGGUCAGCCAACCAUUGGCCGACCCGGCAAAAUAAAUACUACUUCAGUUUGUAAUACAUAAUGAGAUAUAAAACUUGGUGGAAGUCACACGGAACAAGUGCUGGUAGCAAGAGACACGUGGCAGUAGUUUAGCACACUCUUGGUAUUUGAUGUAAAUCCACUUCUAGUAUUUGAUGAUGGGAGCAUAGUCACCUACCUAGGAUGCACCAGAUUUCUGCUCAUAUCUGUUUCAACAAGCAGCAAGUGCGCAUGACUUCAUUUUUGCAAUGAAUCAGUUUUGAAGGAAUCAUUCUGUUAGUCUUCAGGACAGACAUGUAAAUAUCAUCUAAGAUGUACUUGUCAGUACAUAUCCUACUAUCUUGCAUAAUAAUGGGGAAACUGCGGGUCUGUUUUUCAGUUGUUAGCAUGUUUGUUCUGUAAUUUGAUGCAAGAAAAGUGCCAGGGUGAAGUGGCAUUCGUCUUAUAGGUGGCAUUUGGAAACUUCAGUGCAAGUAAGGGGAUGUGAUUUUUGUUCUAUAUUUUCAGGGCUCAUAUCACGUGUCAUCCAUUAAGUCUAAAAUGAUUUUGUGAUAGGUGAUUAUAAGCCUUCUGUUGUAUGUCAGCACUUCAGUGAAUAAUUCAGUAACAAGGGUGCAUGCUUAUAAGCAUGGCUCAUGGCAACGCUGGAAAUUUGAAAGUGCUCUGUUUGGACCCUGUUAUCAAAUCUUGAAUCUUGAAGAAUUAUAUCCAUGUUAAGUAAACCUGAAAGAUCAUAAUAUGCUAGAGUUCCUCAUUUUCAAUUCAAAUAGCACAAUGUUGUGCUAUCAGGACACUGGGCCACUGAACUAACUAGUACCAUAUCAGUAUUAACAACUGUACUCUGUUCUCUUGCGAUUAGCUUAAUUAUAUGCAAUUCAACUAAUCAACCGGCCAUUCCAAGGAAUAUAAGAUUUCAGUGUAACAGUAUUUAUUAGCAUUCAGAUAACAUAAGCCUACAAUAGUGUCAGUUACAUUGAAUCAACCAAUCAACAGCAAUCUCAGAUAAUAAAUCACAUGUUUUACAUACGCUUAAUUGCAUUCAAUUCAACUAAUCAACAGGCCAUUCCAGGACAAAAGUAUAGUACUAUAUCUCGCUUCUGCUGCAAAGCACAAUGUUCAGUGCUGAUAUCUUCUGGAACUUAACCUGCGGACAGACAGAUCAAACAGCUUGUGUCGAUGCAGCUGAGCGCAUUAUCAAUGCUAUCUGGAAAUUCAAAACCAGACAACGCCGGCGCCCCUGAAGAUUCGUUCACAUUCCUCUGGUUCAUAUUCAUUCAUUGCUUCAGGCAUCAACCAGUAAGAGGAAUAAGAAUCAUCAGAAAUUUUUUAUGAUGACAAAAGUAGAGUUUCAUUCUCGAGAGGCUCCAUCAAACACAUCUCAAAACCACACCAAGAGAGGUUUCCAUUCCAGUGUCCAAGAUUGAUACAAAUUCCAUACACCAAAGGCUUCCAUUUCAGAACCCAGAUUGAAACAUACUUCAUUUCAUACACCAGAAAAGCAGAAAAAUACUUCUUCAUUAACUUCCAGAUUGAUACAAAUAUCAUACACCACAAAGGCAAAAAAAGACUUCUUUAUUAACUUCCAGAUUGAUAUCUUUCAUACACCAGAAAGGUAGAAAAAACGACUUCAUUAACAUUUCUUCAGAGGCGAAUCUAGAGCACGGAGGACCCGAGUGCACACUUAAUUUACGCAUGUAAUAGAAAUGUAAAUGUAACAUAUACAAUGACAAAAAAUGCUUACCAAAAUGAAAAAUCCGGUAGUACAUGUCUACAUGGCAAUGGGCAAAAUACAUAAUUAAGAAUAACCUUGAUGAGACGAUAAUAACCUGUAAAAAAGUGCUAAUUAGAUGGGGAAAAAAUUGAUGACUUACUUGACAUGAUUUCAGUACUAAAACUCCUGGUCCUCAAGUCCCGCCAAAUUCUUUAGACCUUCUUUUCAAUAAGCAAAACUAUAGCCCCAAUUGCAAACCCUAACAAUAUAAUUCAAUUCAAUAUAGGGGAAUCGGUAAUCAAUCAAUUGAAACACUAUCUUAUUGCUUCAAAAGAAAUUAAUUUGCACCAAAAUUGGUCAAGAAAUAUUUUCAUACCAUCACAAUGCAGACGUGGAGGGCUUGAUGCCUUGAUGCCGCAACCUGCAAUCAGCGAUUCCUGCUCGAUGAGGCGUGCUACCCUGCCGUGCUGAGCGCCUGAGCGGUUAGCCGGUGGCCAGCGAUCAUGGCAAGUGGGUGCGCCGUGCAGUGCCUCCGCUCCGCUGCUUCCGGCUUCCGCCGUUCUGCGAUUUGGGGGCGUCGGUCUGGGCAUUUUGCGCGAGGCGGCGAGGGACGUGUCGCGGCUUUUCAUUUUCCCUCUUUCUUGGGCCUUCAUGGGCUGCCUGCAGCCUGCUAGGCAGCUGAAGGUGGUGCACAUAUUUUUUUUUCUAGGGAGUACACAAAAGGUGGAGAUUAGAUGCUAAUAACUAAAAGCUAAAUUUUUCCCUGGUGCCUGUGCACUCGGCAAGCUCAACAUGGCGUUGCCCCUGCAUUUCUUUAUCUACUUCCAAUAAGAUGGAAAUCUAAGACACAGGGAUUGAUAGAAUUUGACAGAGUUAACAGUUUCUAAACAUCCUACGAUUAAAACUGGUUUUUUUACACUCUACUCCGACGAUGGCCGCUGAUCGAACUCUUCCAACGCCGGCUGCAUUUUCUCCACCCUUGCCUCGUCUGAUCAAACUCUUCCAACGCCAACUGCAUCUUCUCCACCCUUGCCACCUGCAAACAACUGAUAGACAAGAAGCAGCAAAAGAAAAUACAUUAUGUAAAUAUAAUUGAACCUGUGGAUGCAGAUAUCGUGGUCCUAGUUGGCGACGACAGAUGGCGGCGGCAGGGAGGCCCGGACGCGGCGGCGGCCAUCCUCCGCUUCUCCCUCCACAGCUUCCGCCGCCGUCCUCUUCCUGCCAGCACCGCCGCCGCCGCAUCUCCCGCUUGGCCGCGGCCCUCGCUCCAGGACACGACAGAACCAGUCGAACUGGUCGGCACGGACGAACAGGCGGUAAUCGACGGCAAUAAGGAAGCGCCGUUCGAGGCCGGCCAUCUCCCUCGCGCGGAUCGCGGCGUCCGAGCUGGUCUCGAACACCACGGUCCACCUCGUCGGGAGCCUGUAGAUGGGCCCGCCGAACUUGGCGCCCACGAAGAUCGCGACGGCGACGAGUCGGUGCGCGGUGGACGGGUCGAUGAGGAUCCCCGCCUCCCGCGCGGCGCCGCUGCGUAUGAACCGGAUCAGGUAGAUCCCGGCGAGAACGUAGCACGCGCCCUGGAUCUCGAUCACAUGGCGGACGCUCUCCUGCUGGAUGAAGGUGUGGAUGCGCUCAAGGAACUCACCGAUCCGGACGGUGGGCGUCGCGCCGCCGCGGAAGGCGCGGAUGAGGUCGGAGUCGGCGUCGGCGUCGGCGGCGGUGGCGUGGCAGAGGGCUUCGGCCUCCACGAGCGCGGCGAGGAGGGAAAGGGAUCGAGGGAUCCCGCGCUCGUCGUCGCGGAGAACGGCGUGAUCGCCGUCGUCGGGUGCCACGGCGUCUGCAGCGGCCAUGGCGGCAGAAGGGUCUCGCGGAAAGGGACGGAUCAAGAUUGCUAGGGUUUGGCGCGCGGGAGGGGAUUAGGGUUUCAAGCUGGAGGAUUUGAUAGAAGAGAGGACGAUCGUGCGCAUACAAUACUUUUAUAAUGGGCCUCCCGGUCCGGCACGACCCGAGAUCGGUAUGGCCCAGGCACAACCCAAUAAGUCGGCCGGUCGGCCCAUGCCGGGUUGGCCCGAAGGCACGGGAAUAUGGCAGCCUAUCGUGCUUUUUUUUUGAAAUAAGUCUAUUUUACGUCCUCUUUUAGGUUGUGACUGAUCGACUCAUCGCCUGUUCGUCCGCUUCGUCUUGGUACCCCGCUGGCCGCCUACGCGGCUAUGCCCUAACCUACGACUGCAAGCUAGAGAGGCAGAGAGACUGCGCGAGGCUACUGGCUACGCGUCAUGCUCGGCGAGUCGGCGGCAGCCGGCAGCCGGUUGCAACCAGCGACUCAGCGAGGCAGUCAGCUGCGAGCGGCCGGAUGACGCCCUCUCCGUGAAUCCGUUCAGUUCAGUACUGCGACUGUGAGGUACCCAAUUGCUCCUCUUCGAAUCUCUGAUGUAUGCCAAGUAUAUAUGUUUAAAUUUUGGGAUUUAAAUUCUACUCCCCAAUUGCUCCUCUUCUGAAAUUACUUAUUAAUUUCUAAAUUCACAGUGAAAUCAUGUUGCCUAAAAAACACGCAUCUGGAAGUGAGAAAAGAAAAAGAAGAAAAGAAUAGAGGAAUUGAUAAAAUCACAAAGUGGAGCUAUUACCGUAAUGUCUCAAGAAAGAUUAAAUGGUUUGGUAACUUUAUGCAUAUAGAAGAAUUUAUUAGAUGAAAUUGAUAUAGAUGCCAUUGUCAAUGACUUCACAUCAUUAAAUGUUAGAAGAAAAUUUUAAGGUAAGAUAUAUAACUUGUUUGAUAAUAAUGUUUUUUUAUGCAUUGCAUUUAUUUGAAACAUUGUUAUAUUAUUAGUGUUGUAUUAAAGGGCCCAUCCUUUUAGCUUUGCUCCAGGCCAGUAAACUGACAGGACUGGGCCUAGACGCCAAUCCGUGUGCUGCCGAGCUCCAUUACUGCCGCCGUUCUCGGCCUCCGAGCCCUCAAGCCCCAUCUCCUCGUCGCCGGCCGGGAGAGGAGUGGCACUGGCGAGCUCUCGCGCCGCCACCGAGCUCGCUGGCCAAUGAGAGUGAGAGGGCGGCGUGGGAGAGGUGAGAGUUGGCCAUAGUGGAGCUCGAGUUGCCAGCCACUGACGACGUAGUUGUCGCUAGCCUUCGUCUAGAUCCAGGCAGCGCCGUCGAGCUCUAGCCCAGACCUUGCUCCUCCUCGACGCCUGAGAGGAGAGAGACGCUAACGGUGGCAACCGAGCUCCCGUGUCACUCUUGUCGAGCUCGUUGUUGCCUUCCGCCACUGCCUCGGCCUCCUCAACCCCCGCCGUGUCCCAAGCCUUCUUGGCUGCUGCCUCCGCGAGGAUUGAGGCGGGGCACCGUGGAGCUGUCGUCACCCCCCCUUCUGCUGCUUGCGCGCCGCCGAGCUCGUCGUUGAGCCACCGCCUCGGCCUCCUCGAUCCGUUGCCGCGUCCCAGCCUCCUUGGCCACUGCCGCCGCAGCAAGGAGAGAGGAGGGGCACAGCGGAGCUGCCGUGGAGGUCGGUGAGCCGUCGGCUGGAGCUCGUUUGCUGCCAGCGGCCGUCGGUGGACUGAGGAGGCAGCUGGCGGAUUGAGGAGAGUGGAGUGGAGAUAUUUUAUAUUUGUUUUUUAGAAUUUAGGGUGUGUGAGCGCGCUAAAAUUUGUACAUUAUGUUAAUUGAAAACACAUUAGAAGAUGACAAGGGCUGGUAUGAAAAGUUGAAAACACUCCGCUGUGAGAGAGGAGGUGUGAUCUCAUAUCUCAGUCUACAUGGCAUAUGAGGAUCCUCAUUUUGAGUAGCUUGCACUGCUAUUGCAAAACAUGGGUUUGUGUCUAUGGCCCCAUGCUAUAGCGAGGGAUAAAACGAUUAUCAGAAUAAUCUUUUAUAUAUGUUUCACCGUUAAGGAUCUGUUUUUUGAAACUUGUUCACUUAAUUAUUGGAAUGGAUGAUUUUUUGCACGCUUCAAAAAAUAUGUUCUCUAAAAUAUUUUCUUACUGGUAUUUGCUUAGACCACUUAAGUUAUUUAUUAAUAUAAUUUAUUUCUUAAAAUAUUAAAAUAAUCGAGUAGAUAAUCGAUACAAAAAACCAUUUAAAUAAUCUAAACCAAUCUAGGUCCAGAUUAGUUAAUUCUAUUUUCUCUCAUCUCUCAUAAAGAGACGUUGUCUCGAUUGUAUUUAGCCGUUAAAUAACUAAAUCUAUAUAUGAAUCAAAUAUUGUCUUUUUUCUUUAUCUUCUCUUUUCACACAAGAUAUAUCAGCUUAAUUAUUUUUGGCUUCAGAUGAUCGAUACACGAUAGUUCAAAUUAUUGCUCGGUCUUCUAUUAAACUAUUUAUCAUUUCAAUUAUUCUAGCCUUUUGUACGAUGACUAAUCAAACAUGAGUUUACAAAAUGCAAGUCGAUCAUGUCAUUUCGCUAUAAAACAAUCCAUCUUGCAUUUAAUUUCUAUCAUAGUCAUACAAUAUUCUCCAAACAACCACUGGUGGAGAAACCAUCUUUCGUCGGUCGGCCGAAUUCCACAAUAGUCCCGGUUGCAAUAAAAACCGGGGCUAAAGACGGUUAAAAAGGGUAACGGACAUAUUUGAUCUUUAGUCCCGGUUCAAAUGCUGUCAGGGCCUGUCAGGCCCCCCCGGGAUCUUUAGUCCCGGUUGGUAACUUUAGUCCCGGUUGGUGUUACCAACCGGGGCUAAAGAUCCCCAACCGGGACUAAAGAUCCCGGGGAUCUUUAGCCCCGGUUGGUAACACCAACUGGGACUAAAGUCCCAUCCCUAUAUAUAUGUCUUCUUCCUCCUCCAGUUGCCCGAGCAAGCUACAAAAUUUCUUCUAAAAAGAGGGGAGGUCAUGCCAAAAUUUCUAGUGAAUUUAUUUUGGUGAUUAUAUACAAAUCGGAGGUGCCUAAAAGGUUAGCAACUUCAUCCUCCAAUGUUUUUUUUGUCAUAUUACAUUUGGAGCUAUGUUUUGCACACUUUUUUGUCUCCAAAAUUUAGUUGUAAGUUGAUGAGAGAGAAAAUUUGUGUGGGGAAGAAAGAAUAUAUAGAAAUUUAGUUUAUUUGCUAAAGAAGGUUUUAUAAAAUAGUUGAGAAGGAAAAUAUAGUGAAAGUUAAUCUUAAAUAAUAGAAAACAAACUAAAAUGAAAAUUAAAAGAAGUAAAACACAUUAAUAUUAGUUUAAAACUUUAGAAAUAGUAAAUAAGAAUUAUUUGGUGUAAUAUUUUAUAAUUUUUGUAUGAAUAAUGAUAUGUCAUUAUUGUAUGACUGUUGAAAGAGUUUGUAAUUAUUUUAUAAUUAUUGUAUGACUGUCAUUAUUGUAAGAAUAAUUAUUUGUGUACGAUUUUUUUUCAUGUCAUGUAGAUGGAUCGGCAAUGGAUGUACGUUGACCGGCAGUCCAAAGAGUUUAUUGACGGCGUGCAUUAUUUUUUGAGAGUGGCCGAAGCUAACAGGCAUAAGGGUUUUAUUUGUUGUCCAUGCAAUAAGUGCAAGAAUCAGAAGGAGUAUUCUGCAUCCAGGACUAUUCAUUUCCACUUGUUUGAGUCGGGGUUCAUGCCAAGCUAUAAUUGUUGGACAGCCCACGGAGAGCAAGGUGUUGAAAUGGAACAAGAUGAAGUGGAAGACGACAAUAUUCCGAACUUUGCUCAGUACGUUGGAUUUGAAGGAAAUCAAACGGGCGAGGAGGAAAGGGAUGCUGAUGGUAACGACGUUGCGGAUGAUCUUGGUCAGAUAUUGCAGGAUGCCAAGGAGGACUGCGAAAGUGAAAAGGGGGCCCAUAAAUUGGACAAGAUGUUAGAGGACCACAGAACAUCGUUGUACCCAGGUUGCGAGCAGGGGCAAAAAAAAGUUGGAUACCACUCUGGAGUUCUUGCAAUGGAAGGCAAAAAAUGGUGUUAGUGACAAGGCAUUUGGCGAUUUAUUGAAACUCGUCAAGAACAUUCUUCCGGAGGGAAACAAAUUGCCCGAGACAACGUACGAGGCUAAGAAGAUAGUCUGCCCUCUAGGACUGGAAGUUCAGAAGAUUCACGCAUGUCCGAAUAAUUGUAUCCUAUAUCGCGGUGAGGAGUAUGAGAACCUAGAAACAUGCCCUGUUUGCAAAGCACUACGAUAAACGAUUAGACGAGAUGAUCCAGGAGAAGUUGACGGGCAGCUAACAAAGAAGAGAAUUCCUGCUAAGGUGAUGUGGUAUUUCCCUAUAAUACCACGGCUAAGGCGUUUGUUCAGGAACAAGUGGAAUGCUAGAAUGAUGCGAUAGCACGCUGAAGAGCGUCAACAGGACGGGAUGCUGAGACACUCCGCCGAUGGUUCGCAGUGGCGAAACAUCGACAGAAAAUUUAAAGACUUUAGAAAGGACGCAUGAAACAUACGGUUUGGUUUGAGUACGGAUGGCAUGAAUCCUUUUGGAGAGAUGAGCAGCGGCCAUAGCACUUGGCCCGUUAUGAUGUGUAUCUACAACCUCCCCCCUGGCUAUGCAUGAAGAGGAAGUACAUAAUGAUGCGGAUUAUUAUUCAAGGCCCCAAGCAACCUGGUAACGACAUCGAUGUGUACCUAAGACCACUGGUCGAAGAUCUUAAAGUGUUGUGGAAGAAGGAAGGUGUCCCCGUGUGGGACGAGGACAAACAUGAGGAGUUUAACCUAUGAGCGCUGCUGUUCGUAACCAUUAACGAUUGGCCUGCACUUAGCAAGCUAUCCGGACAGUCCAACAAGGGGUACAAGGCUUGCACUCACUGUAUGGAUGAAACAGAAAGUACGUAUCUUAAGCACUGUAGGAAGGUUGUGUACAUGGGUCAUCGUCGAUUCCGUGCAGCAAACCACCCGGUACGGAAGAAAGGCAAGCACUUUGAACAUAAGGCGGACCACCGUACGAAACCUAAACAUCACACCGUAAGAGGCCUGGAAGUCAGCCUAUAGAGAGCGAAGAUGGUCACGCGGCGAUGUGGAAAAAGAACUCUAAAUUUUGGGAGUUACCCUAUUGGGAAUUCUUGGACGUCCGCCACACAAUCGACGUGAUGCACCUCACUAAGAACCUUUGCGUAAACCUUCUUGGCUUCCUAGGUGUAUAUGAAAAGUCGAAAGAUACACUGGAAGCACGUAAUGAUCUGAAGCAUAUGGAACAACGCGGCGACCUUCACUCGGAACCAAAGGAGAAAGGAAGCCAUUACUUGAGUCCAGCCAGCUACACUCUUAGCAAGGCAGAGAAGGAAAGUAUGUUUGAAUGCUUGGAGAGCAUAAAGGUACCGUCUGGAUACUCCAAGAAUAUCAAGCGAAUAAUAAGCACGAAGGAGAAGAAGUUCACAAACCUAAAGUCUCAUGACUGUCACGUGUUGAUGACACAACGGCUACCAGUUGUUAUAAGGGGUAUCCUUCCAGACAAUGUCCGGGCAACAAUAACAAAGCUAUGUGCAUUCAUGAACGCAAUUUCGUAGAAGGUCAUCGAUCCGGAUAGAUUAGAAGCCCUUCAGAAUGAUGUGGUGCAAUGUCUUGUCAGUUUUGAGUUGAUAUUUCCACCUUCAUUUUUCAAUAUAAUGACGCAUCUGCUUUGUCACCUUGUCAAAGAGAUCAGUAUUCUCGGGCCUGUGUACCUACACAACAUGUUUCCUUUCGAGAGGUACAUGGGCGCUCUGAAGAAGUAUGUUCGUAACCAUGCUCGUCUAGAGGCAAGCAUCGCCAAGGGGUAUGGAACAGAGGAGGUUAUCGAAUUUUGCAUAGAAUUUAUUGAAGACCUUCGCCCAAUCGGGGUACCUGAAUCACGCCAUGAAGGGAGACUACGGGGAAAGGGAACUCUCGGAAGGAAAGCAAUAAUGACGGUAGACAACAAUUUAUUCCGUAAAGCCCAUUUCACGGUUCUGCAACAAUCUUUAUUGGUAGUUCCUUACAUCGAGGAGCACUUGGCUCUAGUUCGCGCCAGAAACAUCGGUAAGUCCGAUGCAUGUAUUACACGGCAUCACAUUAAUACUUUCCCCGCGUGGCUACGACAACAUCUCAUGGGUAACGAGACGAUCAACCAACAACUGGCCUUCCUAGCGAGGGGACCAUCUGGGUCGAUCGCGACAUUCUAGGGAUAUGAGAUCAAUGGGUACACAUUCUACACGAGAGCCCAAGACAUGAAGAGCACGAACCAAAACAGCGCUGUUCGUAUCGAUGCCAUGGGACACGAUGGAACAACUAGCACGUAUUACGGUGCCAUCGAGGACAUAUGGGAACUUGACUAUGGUCCUCUCAAGGUCCCUCUGUUACGGUGCCAAUGGGUUAGGUUGACUGGUGGAGGCGUAAUGAUUGAUGACAGUGGGAUGACAACGGUUGACCUUAACAAGGUUGGAUACUCGGACGAACCUUUUGUCCUUGCCAAUGAUGUAACGCAAGUCUUUUACGUGAAGGACAUGUCUAGCAAAGGAAAAAAGGGCAGAGGGCCUGACGAGCCGAAGCGUCACGUGGUUCUCCCAGGAAAAAGAAAAAUCGUCGGAGUUGAGGAUAAGACUGACGAGGAUUACGAUCAGUUUGAUGAGCAACCCCCUUUCAUGGUGACGAUUGACCCUAGCAUCCUCCUAUGAAAUGAAGACACCCCUUACUCACGUAGCGAUCACAAGGAGGGAACAAUAGUGAGGAGAAAGUACGUGCGGUCAACCGUCACCGUCGAUGUAUUGCCGUAAUUAUUGUGUACACGAUGUAAACUAUUUUGGAUGUAUUGAUUAUUCAUAUAAAUCAAUUUUUGUAUGGCAUAUGUUAAUUACGUACAAUUAUUAGAGGUUUUAACAAUUUUAAAUCAUGUAAUUGCUAGUUACAUGCGAUAAUUAGAAUUUUUAAAAGUUUUAAAUCAUGCAUGUGGCAUUUACAUAUGAUACUUAGAGUUUUUAACAAUUUUAAAUCAUGUAUAUGCUAGUUAUGUGCGAUAAUUAGAAUUUUUAAAAGUUUUAAGUCAUGCAUGUGGCAUUUACAUAUGUUACUUAGAGUUUUUAACAAUUUUAAAUCAUGCAUAUGCUAGUUAUAUGCGAUAAUUAGGAUUUUUAAAAGUUUUAAAUCAUGCUUGUGGCAUUUACAUAUGUUAAUUAGAGUUUUUAACAAUUAAUUUAAUAUCAUUCAUAUGCUAAUUAUAUAUGAUUAUUCGAAUUUUUAUUAAUUUUAAAUCAUGCAUGUCGUAUGUAUUUACAUAUGUUAAUUAGAGUUUUUAACAAUUAAUUUAAUAUCAUUCAUAUGCUAAUUAUAUAAGAUUAUUAGAAUUUUUAUUAAUUUUAAAUCAUGCAUGUCGUAUGUAUAUACAUAUGUUAAUUACAAUUUUUAACAAUUUAAUAUCAUUCAUAUGCUAAGUAUAUAUGAUUAUUAGAAUUUUUAUUAAUUUUAAAUCAUAUAUUUGCUUAUUACGUUUUAUCCACUUAAUUUACUACAGACAACAAUAAUUUUUUGAAGUAAUUGUCAUUAAUUUUUCGACUUUAAAUAAUUUUAAUGCACUAUUUUCUAUUUUAGAAACACAUAUGUAAUGGAAAUUAAUAUUCAGUGCACUUAUUAGUAGUCCCAGUUCUUAACCCUAACCGGGUUUAAAAAGAAUUUGGAAAUAGCGGGAAAAUAUCUUUAGUCCCGGUUGAUGAGAACAACCGGGAGUAAAGAUAGCUUUACUCCCGGUUGUUGAGAACAACCGAUCUUUAGUCCCGGUUGUUCUCAACAACCGGGAGUAAAGAUAUAUUUACUCCCGGUUGUUCUCAUCAACCGGGACUAAAGAUCUAGGGGCAUAUAUAUUCCCGAUGCGCGCCCUCGUCUUCUCCACCAACACUUAGAAGUUUUUUCCCCGAUCGAUCUCUCUCGGCUUCUCCUUCGCUGGCACUGCCUAGGGCAUCCCCGCGCCGACGCCACCGUCGUAUCUCGCCGUCGUCUCGCGUGCGUCGUUGUAGCCGCCUCCGCCGCCUCCGCCGCCGCCGCAUCUCUGGGCUGAGAGCCGCCGCCGCCUCCCUCUCUCUCUCUCCGAUCUUGAUCUCUCUCUCUCUCCCCAAACCGCCGCCGGCCGCCUCGUUGCCGACGCCGCCGCCGACGUCGUCGCGGCCGAACCCGACUCCGCCGCGCCGACGAUGCCGACCCAGACCUUGAUGCGGCCGGCACCGGCAACACCGUCGCCUGGCAGUGCCGACGAAGCCGCUCCACGACGCCGCGGCGGCACGACACGCCGAGACGCCAAGACACCGCAGCGGCACGGCACCGCCGUGCCGCCACGCCGCCGCCGCGCCAAGCCGCAGUCGCGCCGCCCCGCCGCCGCUCCGCUGCCGCCACGUGAACGAACGAACGUGAACGUGAACAUGAACGAACGAACUUGAACGAGAACGUGAACGAACGUGAACGAGAACAUGAACGAACGAACGAACAUGAACGAACGAACGUGAACUUAACGUUGUAUUUGAACGUACAUAAAUGAACAAACGUGCAUGAACGAAAAGUGAACUUAACAAGAACGUAAACAUUACUUAACGUACGUUAACAUGGACGCACGUGAACGAACGAAUGUAGGUGAAUGAAACGUGAACUUAACGAGAACGCGAACGUGAACGAUCGUAAACGAAAUGUGAACUUAACGAGAACGCGAACGUGAAAUACAAUAUAUGUUACUUCGCGUUUAUCCUAAUACAUCUUUUUGUAAGUUGCAGAAAAGACAUUGUCGUCGUCGUCCCUCAAGCCGGAGUGGUAGCUAGCCCUCGAAGGAAUUCGCGCAGGCAAGUGAUGCAAAUAUAUGAUUGUUAGAUUUUUAAUGCAAUUAAGACUAUUAGAUUUAAUAUAUGACACUUAGACUUAGCAUUAUAAUUAGAGUUUUAAUACAAUAUUAUUUGAGUUUUAAUAUAAGAUUAUUAUAGUUUUAAUAUAAGAUUAUUAGAUUUGUAAUUAGACUUAGCAUAUAAGAUUGUGUAGGGUUCUAAUAUAUGACAGUUAGACUUAGCAUAUAUGACUAUUUGAGUUUUAGUAUAAGAUUAUUUGAGUUUUAAUAUAAGAUUAUUAGAUUUGUAAUUAGACUUAGCAUAUAAGAUUGUGUAGGGUUCUAAUAUAUGACAGUUAGACUUAGCAUAUAUGACUAUUUGAGUUUUACUAUAAGAUUAUUUGAGUUUUAAUAUAAGAUUAUUAGAUUUGUAAUUAGACUUAGCAUAUAAGAUUGUGUAGGGUUCUAAUAUACGACAAUUAGACUUAGCAUAUAUGACUAUUUGAGUUUCGAUAUAAGAUUAUUAUAGUUUUAAUAUAAGAUUAUUAGAUUUGUAAUUAGACUUAGCACAUAAGAUUGUGUAGGGUUCUAAUAUACGAUAGUUAGACUUAGCAUAUAUGUCUAUUUGAGUUUUAAUAUAAGAUUAUUAUAGUUUUAAUAUAAGAUUAUUAGAUUUGUAAUUAGACUUAGCAUAUAAGAUUGUGUAGGGUUCUAAUAUAGGACAGUUAGACUUAGCAUAUAUGACUAUUUGAGUUUUAGUAUAAGAUUAUUUGAGUUUUAAUAUAAGAUUAUUAUAUUUGUAAUUAGACUUAGUAUAUAAUUAUUGACUAGCUAGGUUCGUAAUAUACGUCACUUAGACUUGGCAUAGUUGACUAUUACAGUUUUAAUACAAUAUUAUUUGAGUUUUCGUAUAAGAUUAUUAUAGUUUUAAUAUAAGAUUAUUAUAUUUGUAAUUAGACUUAGCAUAUAUGACUUAGCAUAUAUACUUAGCAUAUAUGAUUGUUAGCAUAUAAGAUUGUUAAAGCAAAAAUGUCUCAUGACUUAGCAACUAUUUCUUGUAUGAACAGAUGGCUGAUCGCGAUGAGGAACAGAUAUUGUACGAUACAAUCGCGGAGGGAAGCAGCUAGUACUGGAACGAAGAAGAGGGGAAUGAGGAUUCAAACCAGUACUUGAACGAGGAAGGGAACAUGGAGAGGGAUUCGGAGGGGAACCAGGAGGGGCACGUGGAGAGGGAUGUGGAGGGGAACCAGGAGGAGGAGGCUAGUGGAAGUCAACCCUCCGCUGGACAGAAGAGGGCACGCGGGCAACGAGGUGCCGCGAAGAAGCUUGAGGGUCGGCACAUCAUAACGGAAGUGGACGAAGACGACCGACCUAGUGCCCCGGCGGAAGCAGCCAAGAACUAUGUACGUCACAGCGGUUGGGUUGUGCGGGAUAACAUGCCUGUCAGUACGGUGUACUGGCGCAGAACAAGGGCAUGUGGAGAUCAUGAGAGUUUUGCCCCAGAUUCGGAGAAAGAGAUGCUGUGGACAGCAAUGCUCGAGACAUUCACCCUUCCCGCGGGUACAGAGGACAAAGUGAAAAGGUGGACUCUAAAGAAAAUGGCAGAACAGUUUCAGAGCUUCAAGGGAGAUCUAUACCAGAAAUAUAUCCUGAAGGGGCAGACACCGAACUUCGACACAUUCCCAAAGCUAAGGGAUCACUGGGACGAGUUCGUUGCAUAUAAGGCAGGUCAACAAGGGCAGGCGAUGAUGGAAAGAAACAAAGAAAAUGCCGCCAAGAAGAAGUACCAUCACCACUUGGGGUCAGGCGGCUAUAGCGUCGCGAUGCCGAAGUGGGAGGAGAUGGAGGCAAGCUUGCUUGAGAGGGGUAUCGAACCGGCCACCACUAAUUGGCUGGAUCGAUCGAAGUUCUGGUACUAUGCUCACGGUGGAACGCUCAACCCAGUUGAUGGCUCCCUGGUCUUCAGCGAUCAGAUACGCGAGGCUGCGCGUCGACUAACGGACACAGUGGAAGCCUCUUCUCAGGGCACGUUUCGACCCGACAGAGAGAAGGACGAGCUGUCACUCGCCCUGCAGACUCUAGAGCAUCCAGGACGAACACAAGGGAAAGUGGUGAUUCCUUAGAAGAUUGGGUUCAAGGAGGACAUCCACAUGUACAGGAGUCGGAUGAGGAGUAAGAGAGAUACCGAGGCGAAGAUUAUAGAUCUUGAGUACAGGGUAUCGAGCUACGAGCUCAGCAUGCAAGAGGAGGUGGCAAGGAAGGUUGAUGAACGCAUGGCCGCACAUCGGUUCCAUGAUCCCCAGCCGACCAUUCCUCCUGCAAUGGUAAGCCCUUCAGGAAAUCGUUGCAGCUGCGCCUCAACGGGGCAGGUAGGAUCAUAGAGCAUGGACGCCAUGCAAACCCAGGACGAAACCACUUGCCCCGUUGAUGACAUCACUCAGCGGACACCAUGUGAGUUGCAUAUUCCCUUCAAGAACUUAUCAAUAAAGGUAAGCUCGUAGUUUAUAGAUUUUAGAUUUGUCCAUUCCGCAAGUUGCUGCUUAUAUAUGUUGAUUACUAAUAAAUAACCUCUCACCACGUGAAGGUGGCGUCAGGCAUGGCCAUCCCAACGGACCCUUCAGGUACUUACUAUUGCAGGCCGAUUCCAGCAGGAUACUCCAAGGUCGAAGUUGAGUUGGUCGAAGACGCGUACGAGGACCUCGAGUUCGAUUACCCUGGAGGAGACGGUGAGACGCAUCUAUGAGACACAAGCCACACCAUUAUACUAUGGCGCAAGCGGUACAUCAUCCUCCCUGGGCGACAAGCGGCGUCUCGUGCACCAUCUCCUCCGGCUCCGCCAUCUCCUCCUCAGGCUCCUGCACCGUCUCCUCCUCAUGCUCCAGCACCGUCUCCACCUCAGGCUCCUGCACCGACUCCUCCUCAGGCUCCUGCACCGACUCCUCCGCAAGCUCCUCGUUCGGCACCUUCCAAGUCAAGGCCCCCCCAAGCUCCACCACCUGCCCCCACAAGGGCAACGAAGAAGGCGAAAGUUGACGCCGCCAAGAACAAGGACCCAGGGUACGAUUGCACGCAAGAGGAGCUUGACGCUUAUGUGGCAUCAGAAGUCAGGAGACAAUUGAAGCCUCGAAGUCCAGAAAAGAAGAUUCCUAUAGACCCGAGUGUUAGGAACUUCUUCAGGGGUAUGUCUGCACCUGCCAAGGAGGCCAUAAAGCUAUCGGACUAUGAGCGAACACUCAAGAAAGCAUCUUCUGGAAAGUCCAAACCAGUCCCUCAGCUUGGAGAGCAACCAGACCAGGAGAUCGAGCCGUUGGUGACCGGUGAAGAUUUUGGAAUACAAGAAUUUAUUAAUGACACCGGGCUAACUACGGAUCAAUUGCUACGAGGCACACCAAUCGAAAAGGCGGAAGUGAAAUACAUGUACGAACUCAGUAAAUCGCUUGUCAAGCCUGAGCAGCUGCAAUCCCUACCCACACAAAUGUACAAGUUCCAUCAACUGUACAUGGAGAUGAGCGCCACCGGUAGAGAGAUGAUCAGAGCGAGGAUCAGGGACACGGACUUCUUGCCAGGAGAUGACAUUCUCUGGAUCAAUUUCAAGGGUAUCUACGAACCAUACCAGCUGGACGCCCUCGACGUCUCUAUUAUGAGUUGCUGGAUUUUGUAAGUAUCGUUCAGUUAGAUUUCUUAUUACGUUUCCUUUAAUUAAUUAGGUCCUUGUAUAUAAGUACACUAUAUAUAAUAUAUACUCCCUUUUAUCGUUGUAGAAUGGAGAUUCAAAGGGCCUAACGGCGGGGGGUUUUCGAUACUGGAUUCAUCGACCCUCGGAAAGUAAACGUCGCAAUGCUCGACCAGUAUCCGCAAGCCAUAGAGGACAAUCUCAUCCAUCUCCUGAAGGCGCAGUAUUACAAGACGUUCAUAUUGUUGACGUACAACACAGAGUUAGUUUAAUUUUACUGUCUUCCUAUACCAAAUUUCAUUCCCGUACGAACAUGCUAAGUGUUUCAUAGGUAAUGCAUCCCACGCACAUUGCAGAUUCCACUGGGUGCUUUUACUCUUCAACCUGGAGGCCUGCACCGUCAACGUACAUGACUCAAUGGAUAAAAAAGAGUCUACGUUUGACAAGGUUUUCGAACUUGUAGACAGGUACUGUCAUAAGUUCCUAUGUUAAUUAAGAAUCUUGUUAUAGUUAAUUGCUACUACGAAUCAUAGCUUUAAACUCCAUGUAGGGCUUGGUAUCAGUUCCGUCAUUUCGUCCACGGCAAAUGGAGAGAAAGACUUAGGCGGAAGUUCAAUUUUCCUGUGAGUACACAUGCUCUACAUUUAUAUUGAAUCUCCAAUUCAAAUACAUACAAGUGUAUAUUAAUUAGAUCUCUUGCCGUUUGUCAUUUAUUUAUAGUGCGCAAAGCAAAAGCAGGGAACUAACUUGUGCGGCUACUACGUGUGCGAGUAUUGCCACUGCCUUGCAGACCAAAUCAUCACCACAAGAGAGCUCGAUGUACGUACAAAUAAAUUCAAAAUUUCAUUACGUAUCGAUUUGUUGUUUAAUUACUAAUUAAUUUCAUACAUUCAUAUAGUUUAUUCGCAUGAGGGAUAACCUGAUCACACACAAGGAAUUUAUCGCGGCGGUUCAAGAACAACUCAUGGGAUUCAUCAACGAACAAAUCCUUGAUCCUAAGGGUGAAUUCUACUAUGACGGAAAUACAAUUCAUAGGUCCUUAGCUUCUGAGAUAACGACUACUACUACGUCGAAAUCAUAGCUAGCUAGGACAUCAUAAUGGAUUGUAAUUAAUACAUGUCUAUUUUUCUAUAUGCAUGUGUACACAUUUUCUUUAAUGUAAAUAUAUAUUUUGGUCAUAUAUAUAUAUAUAUAUGCACAAAAAAUGUUAAGUGCUUUCAUAUAUAUAUAUAUACACACACACACACACACAUAUGCAUUUGCAUAACAUAUAUAUGUAUAAAUACAUAUAUAUAUUAUGCAUGUAUAUAUGUAUUGAAACAUAUAUAAAUAUAAUAUAUAUAUAUAUAUAUAUUAUAUGCAUAUAUAUGUAUUGAAACAUAUAUAUGCAUGGUUUAUAUAUAUAUAUAUAUAUAUAAACCAUGCAGCAACAGGACCAUGCAAAAAAAAAAGGUCAGUUCGAUCUUUAGUCCCGGUUAUUUCACCCGGGACUAAAGAUAGCGAUCUUUAGUCCCGGAUUGGUAGUCCUGGUAUGGAAACCGGGACUAAAGGGGGGUUACGAACCGGGACUACAAACGCUUUCUCCACCAGUGAACACAUAACUGUUUCUUGUAGUACUUUCACAUAGACACAAACUUAUGUUUUUGUAAGCUUGAAAUAAUAAUGUCGAAAAAAAACGUCUUAGAUGGUCUAAGUAUAUCUAUAUUCGUUUUAUCAACUACAAUACAAACAAUAACAUCAUAUAGCUAUACCAUAUCCAUCUCAAAUCAUAGGUAGCACCCAUUAACAAAUAUUUGAGCCCUAUGUGGGUGUGGCUAGAGGCCUAUUGGCAAUCUAGUAUGUUUGAUGGAGAUUUAGAUCAAACGGUGAAUACGUCCUUCUUAACCCUUGUGAUUCAGCCUUAAAAUGCUCUGGUUGCUUGUGAGUCUUCACACUUCAAAUCGCCGUACCAACGCCCACCUCGUUGGGUACCGUCAUACUUCUCUCGCUUAUGAGAGAGAUUGACAAGAGCUCUAAGAUUUUACCACCAAAUCGAUCUUCUUCGAAGAGGAGGGGGGAGGGGAGAAUCAACCUGGUCUGAUUUCUUCUUGGGCUGAUCUUGGUGCCAGACUGUUUUGCUUUCUAGAUUUGGGGUUUGUUUCUUUGGCAGAAUCAUGUAAGGAUUUUAUUUUUUUUGGAAUAAUUAAGCAUUUUCUUGUUUCAUAUGUGCUUGUUUGACAGGCCGGGAUCAAGUUUAUCUUAAUUAGCAUGUCAAGAGAUUAAUUAAAGGUUCAACUAGAUUUGUUUGGGAUUUUAGUAGCAGCACGGAGCUUGGAAGUUCAAAUCUCGGGUGCUACGAACCUUCUACGUUCCUGAAACAAAAAUUUCCAGGUGACUAAUUAAUUAUUGUGAGUAAUAGAUUAACGACACACGUGUUGAAAUCUUAUUCUACGAGCAGCUUACACACCUAUGUGCAGAUGGAUUUCUCUAAAAUCGGUUCCCCGUGGCUCGUAUUCGUCCAUGAUAAUGGAAGUUUUUAUAGAUCUUCAAUUUGGAGUAGCCCUUCUUCUUUCUUUGAACGAAUCCUGUACAGAUUUAAUUAAUUUCGAAUUAACGCUUGUUCCUUUGCUUGUUCUUGGCAAACUAAGCUUGCUUGCUAGGGCCAUAUAUAUACGGCUCAAAUUAAAUUCAUCGCCAUGGCUGACCACGAAGUAGGAGGUCUCUACCCGAUCGACUUAGGUCGGAUGGACAUGAUGACCGCGCUUGGCUUCGUCGGCAGCUAGCGACGUCGACGACGACGAGGACAGCGGCAAGGCGAUAUGGGAUGAUCUCGCUUCUGAAAUCGGCGGCGGCGCCGCCACCGUGGAUACUCCGGCGACGGUGAGUUCUACCAAUGGAUGCAUUCAUGGUCAUGCAUGUAUCUGCUUAGUGGUUAAUUUUUGCUGGCUAGCUGGAUGUGUUGUCAGAUUUAUUGUGCUGCUAGCUGUUUUUUAAUCACCUAUGCGAUUAAACAGGUGGUCAGGUAGCCAGCUAUAGCUAGGUAAUGUACUCCUACUGGAAUGAAUUAAUGUGUGCUAGUUUUAUCCUUUUUUCAGCGUUGCAUAUUUGACUGUUGUCACAUGUAUGUUAUGUAUGGCAUGUACUUCAUUUUUUUACUUCAAUUCAUUUAUUUUCUUUUUUGGACCCGUAUAUUAAAUAUGUACUUUAAAUUUUAAAAAAUAUUUAUUAAGGGAUGCACUAAAAUGCACCGAGAAAGCGUAAUAACUAAAACACGUCCUUCACAUAGUACUUUUUUACUAUAUGUUAUAUGUUUUCAAAUACAUGAUAGCACAAAUUUUACUAAUAGGCUUAAUAGGGGAAUUUGUGAUGAUUUCACUCUCAGUAAAAAAAAUUACUAACAUUGAGUGUAUAUAUUAAAUAUGUACUUUAAAUUAAAAAAAUAUUUAUUAAGGGGCGCACUAAAACGUAUCGGGUAAGCGUAAUAACUAAAAUACGUCCUUCACAUAGUUCUUUUUUACUAUAUGUUAUAUGUUUUCAAAUACAUGAUAGUACAAAUUUUACUAAUCGUCUUAAUUGGGGAAUUUGUGAGGAUUUCACUCUCAGUAAAAAAAUUUCUAACAUUGCAUGUGUGUUUUACCUAUAACAUACCCAGGGUAUAGUAUAAUAUGUCUAUAUUUUUUAAAUACAAUUGUUCAUAAUAAUAGAAUGUACUGGAUGCAUUGACCACUUUUUGAAUGGGAAUAUCUGGUGCAAUUUGUGGACCAUUUAGGCCAUGUUUGGCACACUUGGUUUUAAAUUAAAUUAUAGUGUUUUAUACUUUUAUAUUUUCUCUAAAAUAGGAAUAAAUUAAUUUAUCCAAGAGAUCCAGAUCUAAGGAUUCUUGGCUAUCGAGCAGUGGCACAAGAGCCCAAUAAAUCGUCAAAGUAUCUAAAUGAAAAUUCCACCAGAUAUUUAAAAUGCUACUAAGCCUUUGGGCCUUGCUUUGUGAUUACACUUUGGUCCAAAAUGGGCCCAGAAAAAAUUGCCAGAGCCAAAAGGGGAUAGAGGUUGGACUUAGUUGCUAAGCGCGCUGUGCGCGGGGGUGGCAUUGGUUACGUGCCAUAGCCCACCGGUCUCAUACCACUGUCGACAGACAUCACUGGAAAGGAGGAUGGGGUGGACCACUCCCAAUCGUCUCCUCUGGCUACCGCAACUGGAAACCAUAUGGUUUGUUCCUUUUCGGUCCCAGUUCCCUUAUUUACGUGCCUUUUAUUCUAUUUAAUUACAUACUAUUGAGUACUUGCUUUGUGGGUGCAUAGAUGGAAUUGUUUUGUGUGGUCUGCCACAGGAAAGGCUCUAACCAAUUUAUCAUUCCAAAGUGUUGUGAUAAUUAGUAUGACUAACUAAAUAUUUCAUAUCAUAAAUAAGAACUUUCUUAAUAUAUUUCAUCAUAUAUUUGUGUUUCCAAAGGUGUUUUAUCUAAUUUUGUAUAUCAACUAGUAAUACCUAUUAAAACAUGUCUAUAGUGGUUUGAUAUGUCUAUAGUGGUUUGCUGUUGUUUGUAUUGGUAAGACACUGGGCACUGCAACAAAGGAUAAAUUGCCCUUCAUGAAGGCAAUAAAGGAUAAAUUGCCCUUGUCAAAGAUAAGUUUGCACUGUCAUCAAUUUACAUUUCACUUUAGAAAUAGGAUACAGAUGGAUUGGAAGCUGGACACACAAAAAGUUCCCAAAAGGCGAAAACCAUGAUUGUUCACGACUAUACCAGCUGUCCAUGUCCACCUCUUUUGAUAUGCGAAAUGACUUUUUUUGCCCUCAUUUUCCUAUCAAGUAGUACUAAGUCCAAACCUCCAAAGUAUUUUAUUUAAUAGGAAGCAUAUCUCCUUCUAGACUGAAAGCCUAGCGGUGGGGCGGUGGCCAGGCUAUGGCCGCCGCCCCACCGCGGGAGAGAAAGAGGGUUGUGGGCUAGUGGUGGGGAGGCUCAUUUUUGCCGUCAGGAGGGGGUGGCAGUGGCUGAUCUAGUAACCGGAGCAGCUAAAGGUGAGGUAGGAGUGGUAGGAUAGGGGAUUCCUACCAAAGUUGAGGAUGGCAGUGAGACAACAGCAGUAGAAGUAGUGGGGGAGAUGGAGGUUGGAGGUGGUGGAGAGGGCUUGGCCGGUGGAUCUUGACGGUGUCUUCGUGGUGCUGGCGUGGCAAGGUCUUAUCGUGGAAAGGAGUAGUGGCGGUGGGGUGGUUUUUGCGGAGAUCAGGAGGAGAGAGAAAGGCUAGGUGUUAUAUUUGUUGCAUGAAUCACAAAAAAUCCUUGAUGUCUGUGAUUUAACAACAUAUCAGGUGACUGAUGAUUACUCAAUCCUUGUAAAUUGUCUUGAGACAAGUAAUUAGUAACUAGCAAAGAUACCGGCUCUGAUAUAUAAGAAAAUAUAGCUUUGCUAGAGAACAUAAUCCCUCCGGUUCCAUAUUAAUUGACGUUUAAGAUAAGAUUGAGGUCAAACUUUUAUAACUUUGACCAUCAAUAACUUUAAAAAUAUUUAGUUUAAAGGAAUUAGAACAACAUAUAUAGAUUUAUUUAUUAUAUAUAUUAUAGUAGAAAAAUAAGAUCAAAGAUAUAUUUUGUAGACCGUGUUAUUGUCCAAAACGUCAAUUAAAAUGAAACCGGAGGGAGUAGAUCCUUAUUUUUCUGUUAUGGUACUAGGAUUUGUUGCUAAUUUAUUGUUGUUUUCAUUAUUAUAACAACUACUUCCCCUUAUUUGAUUUCUUUUCUUAUGAGUCUGUUACACUAUGAUCAACAAUUAUUUUCAUUGACAGUAUUGCUAUUCAAUUAUAUUCAUCAUAUUUGUAUUCCUGCUAGAUAACAUUUUGAAGAUACACCAAUAACAUAUUACCUUGUGACCAUUCAAAACAUUUAUUACUUAUUCUUGUUGUGCCAGAUAUCCUUAUCUCUAUCAAGAGGGGAAAAUUAUGGUCAUAGUAUUGUUUACCUUUCUUAAUAUGUUUGUCUGACUUGAUUUAUACAAUGUUCUUGUGUUCAACUAAUGAAAACGUUAGGAUUUCUUCCUUUUGUGAGAAAUAUUAAUUCUAGUUUUUUCAUCUACUAUCUAAUCAAAUGAUAUUCAUACAAUGCAUUGUUUCAUAAUAUGGCAACUACUCCAGCAUCUCUACCGCAAUCAAGAGUACAAUAAUGUGCAAUAUAUUAAAAUAACCAUUUGGAUUAUGGGAUUAUUUAACAUUGAUAUUUUGCAUGUCAUCUAUGCAAAGAAUUACAUCAAUCCAUUUCUAUUAAAACAUUUCUCCUUCCUACUCAGGAUGUCUGAGAUGAACGCACAUCUACUUUAGAUGAAAAGGUACCUAUUGACUGACAUGCACUUUUCUCAGGAUAUCCAAUCUAAAGCAGAGAUCCAACCUGCUUGUGGGACUCUAAAAGAGCAACCAUCCAAAGCUGUUUAUGGAAGCUGCAUUUCUGGUCAAAUGUUUGGACUACAGGAUUCACAAUAUAUAUUGGCCAAGCCAUCCUCAUCUGAAAGAUUCUAUAAUCAUAACUCUGAUGCCAUUGGAUCCAACCAUCUGAAGCUUCAUAGACAAAUAAGUGCUGAUGGAAACGCUGAAUCUAGGUUAGAACUGAACAAAGAUGCUAUUGGAGUUUUAUCAGGUGAAAAGAGUCCAUUAGCCAAAUCAGGAAAGCAGAUUGAGCAACUUAUGGUGAAUGAUCUUUCUGCUCAUCCAUACAACCCUGUGUGUCCUUUUUCUCAAGGUGUUAGUUAUUACAGUUCAUCUUCCCAACACAUUGUGAGCUCAUCAGGAGAAGUCAAAUAUAUUCGAAAUUCAGGUCAAGAAAUGCAAAUUGCUUGUGAUAUUGUAGAAGAACCAUCACAUAUAGCUUUGUAUGGGAGCAAGAACCCUUAUGAAUUGACUGGGCUCGGUAAUCCUCAUGAUAAAUUCAAUGCCCCAUCUUUUUUUUUGAAGGAGUCAAUAUUAGUAGCAUCUCUAGCACUUCAUCAGGGAUGAACUUAUCAACCAAUAGUGCUAAAGAAAAUAAUGAAUACAACCAACUGAAGCUUCAGAAGCAAAUUGAUGGUUAUCAGAGGUUUGAAAUUGGCUCAGGACUGAAUAUGGAUGAUGCUGAUGGCGAUUUAACUGCAACAGGGGUUCCACAAAAAGUGCAGGAUGGGAAAAAUAUGGUGAACACUCUUUUUGUUAAAGCCGUACCAACCUGUAUUUACCGUCUUACAUGGUACUAGUUACAGUUUAUCUUCACUACACCCAAAUAAGUUGAACCAGUUGCUAGAACAUCCUGAGUACCAUUCAAGGUUACAUUGCAUCCAACCUUCACCGCAACCAAUCAUCAAAGAUGUAUCAACAUCAAUGACACUCUAUGUUAAAGAACCAUGCUCUCAAGAAAAUUUUUAUUUGGCGGACAAUUUUCCUAGUCUUCAGGGAUUUGACAAUGUUGCGGAUAACAACCCUAGAAUGUCCGUGCCUCACAACACUGUUGUUUCCGCCAGGAAUGCAAGGAACCAAUCUCCCACCAUGAGUGGUAUGGUGCAUGCUGAUGUUUUAGAAAUCUACUACUCUUUGGAUCAGCAGACUUCAGCUAACAAUAUACAAAUUUAGUAUGCUCUUCAGGCUGCAAGGCAACCAUCACAACCAUUCCUGCAUGCUAAUGUUGCAGAAACAAACUCACCUUUUGGUCACCAGUUUGCAGACAACUUGCUCCUCAGGUUACAACACAACCAUCAAACAUAUCCCUACAUGGGAGCUACAACCGCAGCCUAUGGAUUAGAUCUGUUGGUGAUUUCUAGAUGGAGCUGUUCAAGCCAUCCUCAUCUCACAUAACUAGUAAUGAUGUUAUUUCUGGUGCAUUGCCAAAGAUCAACUUGCAGGGUGGGACAAUGAUAGGAAAAGAUGAUUUAAAACAUAAAAAUCUUCAUGGACAAAUUGGUUUUCAUGAAAAUGUUGCAUCUCACUAUUUUGGCAUGAACCCUGAGUUGCCAAGGAUAUCAUCUUUUCUACACCAGAAAUGCUCUGAAUUCUUACAACUUAAUAGUGAUGCAAUGAGAUGUUUAACCAGGGUAGAAAAACAAGUUGAGCAAUCUACCAUAAUAGGUCCUCCUUUCCCUUCUGUGACAGUACCCAGUCCUUUGUCAGUAAAUCAUCUUUCUUCCAUGUCCAGGGGUUAUUGUUUAGGCUAUAAGGAUCCUAAUAACCAGGGUAUUGGUUUUUCUCCAAUGUACGAACCAAGUGGAUUCAAUACUAAUUACACCUUGCCUCUGAGAAUGGAAGCACAUGCAAUGGAAUCCUAUGACAUAGAUGCUCUAUCUAAAGCCACUAGACAAAGCUGCCAAGUAUACUUUGAUUCUGAAGAAUGGAGUUCUCAAUGUGUUCAAGAAAUGGACUAGAUGAAGCUACAAAUUCGAACAUGUUGACUGCUUAACAACAACCUCAGAGGAAACAAUAUAGACACCUUGAGAGACAUCAUAAGAAAAUCGUUGCAUCUGAAGCACAGGCGCUACAUAGCAAUGUUGAGACUCCUAUCAGGAUGAACAAAGCUAAGGAAUUCAAUGAAAUAGUAAGGGAUCAAGAAGCAUGCUUCCUUUCAUUUUAUCAUCCUACUCCUAUUCCAUCCCAUGUCUUGAAUAUGUUGCAUUGGUGCUUCGGUAUUGAUAUGGAAAGGAAAAUGCCAUUGCCAAGAGGUAUCCAACACAAUGCUAUGGUACACCAAGGUUUGCUCAUCAGAAUGAUACAUUAGGUUUCAGAAGAUCUUAUGUGGAUUUCCCUCACAGAGAUUAUCUCAAAAGGUUGGACAAUAAGGAGCUAAAUGCCCUGCUAUUCCAAAGGAAGUUUAGUGGUUUAAGCAAAGGGAAUUAUCGGCUUUUUCACAUACAACGCUAUCUAUUUCAAUGCAGG